AGAGCCAAAGCUUCUCCAGGACACACUCUUCUUCCCAUCCCAAAUGCAAUCACCUUUUCAAUCUCCCCUUUUUUGUCAAACCUCUCCGGCUUGAAGGUUGUGGCCUCACUCCAUGACUUAGGAUCCCUGUGAAUGGCCCAUGCAUUGAUCAAUACUAUGGUGUCUCUUGGUACUUUAUAUCCUCCAAUAAUGCAAUCAUCUGAAGUUGAGUGUGGUAAUAACAAUGGAGCAGGAGUACACAACCGAAGCGUUUCAUAGAUGACAUUUUUUAGGUAAGUAAGUUUUGGAAGGUCUGAUUCAUCUACCAAACGAUCUUGUCCUACAUGAGUAUCCAAUUCAUCUCUUACCUUCUUCAAUACCUCUGGAUGGUUCAACAAAUUAGACAUUGACCACUCUAAAGUUACAGCAGAUGAGUCGGUUCCAGCAAGGAGCAUAGCCUACAAUUUUAACUUAACUUGAUCAGUAAAUAAUGACUUAGAAGAGUAAUAUAUUUAUAUAGAUAGUGAAAUUAUGAUUCAAAGUAAUUAUCAUGUAUGUACCAAAGCAAGGCCUUUGAUGAUCUGAUCAGUGUAGUACUCAGGUUGUGAUUCUUGCAAAUUUAGAAGAUGGUCAAUCAUGGUGUUUGUACGUUCCUUCUUGUUGCGUUGUUCUUGAAGGAGUCCUCUCAAGAAUGCGUCCGUUUUGUCAGCAAUAUUCUUAACCCUUUUCUCCAAGUUUUCAAAAUCAAAAAAUUUAAGCAAAGGCAUGAAAUCAGUUUUGUUAUUUGCACCAGACAAUUGCAACAGUUCAGUAACCAUAUCCCUGAAUUGACUGGCUUCUUGAAGAUCACUCAUGUCACAAUCUUCUCCGUAGUAUCUCUUUCCAGAGAUCAUUCGCAUGAUGUUGUUGAAGGUCAUAUCAUAGAAUCUGAAACUAAGUUCUACUUCAGCAAAGGAAGUGGAUGAAUCUUCAGCCAACUUUGUGAUUAGUCGUUGAGUCUCAUCCCUUCGGACUCCAGAGAAGUUGUUGAUACGGUGGUUUGAAAGAACAUCGAGCGAAGUGAUACGACGAAGGUUGCGCCAAUGUUCACUGUAGGAUGUGGAUCCUAAAGUCGUAUAGUUGUAGAAGAUGUAUUUUCCAGAGAGGAACCGUGGCCUAUUAGCUAGGACAACAUCGUUUUUUGUAAAACAUUGUUGAAAUUCAGAUAGAGAAGAAACAACAACCACAAGACGUGAUCCAAACCAAAGUGAAAUGAUAUCACCAUAUGUUUUAGAAAGUCCUUUGAAAGUGCGGUGGAGGGGACGUUUGAGAUGAUGGAGGUUGCCAAUUAUAGGAAGAGAAGGUGGACCUGGUGGGAGAUUUUUGAAUUUUCUUGAUUGGAACAAAAGCCUGAAAAUGAAAAAUAUAGAAAGAUAAAAGAGAGAGUAUGCGAAGAAGGAAAAGAUCCCCAUAAUGAUUGUGUUUGUUUUGAUUAGUGAAAUGCUUGCUAUAUUGUUACUUGUAAAUGAUUGAGUGUGGUGAUAACAAAUAAUGCUGGUAUCUCUAUUUAUAAAGAGCAGAGCAAUAGGACAAGUGGCAUACAUUAAUACAAUAUGGGGCUGCGGUUGACUCAUUAUGUAGUUGCCACGAAAACCAAACCUACGAGUUCAGCGCUUCUGUUGUUCAAACUACUGUACUAUUUUAUUUAAUUUUGUAGCUCAUUUUAUUGACUUCUUAGUUCUUACAAUAUAGUUUUUUAAAUAAAUUUAUACCCUAAACGAGUCCAUUCAAUGCAUUCAAUAUGUACUGGUAAUUUGAUUUUUGAAUUCAAAGUUAAAAAAAAAUUAAAAAAAUUUAUUUUAUAUAAUUAUAAGAAAUUAAAUAUUAUUUAUUAAAAAUACUAGUAAAAUAAAUUUUAUUUUUUAUCUUUUAAAAUAGUGAAUGUUACAUAUUUUUAUGAUAAAAUAUAAAAAAAUUAAUUUAAUAUUUAUAAACAAUAAAAUUAUAUUUUUUUCUUAUAAAAUUAUCUUUCUUAAAAUAAAAUAUCAAUAAAUAACUCUUUGUGUUUAUAAAAUUGAUUUUUAAUUUAUUAAUUUAUAAUGUAUAUAUACCAAAACCAUUCAAUUUAUGAAUUAACUAUAGAAGCUUUAAGCAAAAAUAUCAUUAUUUGUGUGGAGAUUGUUUCAAGAUAAGUUGUCUACAAAGGAUAAUUUAUUUCGUCGAUGAAUCAUUUAUGUGGAAGAUCAACAAUGUGUAGCAGAUUGUGGAGAAGUUGAAACAAUCGGUCAUUUGUUAUUUGUGUGUCUUCUUUUUGGAUCCAUGUGGUACGGUGUUUUGAAUUGGUUUGGACUAUUUGGUGUAUUUCAUAAGGAAGCAAUCAAUCACGCUAAUCAAUUUGAUGGUCUUUUUUCAUGCGGUCGUGUAACACGUUAAAUAAUUAAUUUAGUUUGGUUUGCAGUGAUGUGGAUAAUUUGAAAAUCAAGAAAUAAGGCGAUUUUUCUUUUGCAUGUUAUGAAUGCAAAUCUUAUUAUUGAGCGGACCAAACUUUUAGUAUGGAGGUAAAUCAAAUUGCAUGUAAAAGAAUUUUGUUAUGAGUAUAACCAAUAGUGCUCUCAACACUUCGAGUGCAUUGGUAUCGUUUGUAGUUAAUUGUUUUACCUCUUGUUUGAGUAAUUUAGUUUGUAUUUAUGCUCUAUUUUGGUCAUACAGUAUAAAUAUUGCAAUUUUUUUUUUACUCUUGCUCUAAACACUUCUUCUGUUUAAAACAUUUCUUGAAUAUAUAUAUUUUUUAUUUAUUCAAAGAAAAAAAAAUAUAGUGUACUGAGGCGUUGUUGAAUAUAUAAGCUCUGUUAUUUAAAUCAAGAUUCCGUUGUGUUACUGUAGAUAUUAACUCAUGAGAUAACUUGAUGAACUAACUGGAUUCAUAUAACUUGUAGAAAUGAUAUGCAUAAAUUUUUUUAGAGUAAUUUUUAUUUUUAUAUAAAUAGUAGAUAAAAAAUUAGAAAAAAAAUUAUAAAAAUUGGAGAAAAUAUAAAGAGAAAAAAGAAUGGUGACGAAAAAGAUAGUUAGAAAUUGAAUAGAAAUAAUUAUAAUUUCAAAUGUGAAAUUGAAAAUGAGAGAUAAGAGAAUAGGAAAGAAAUAAAAAAAUAUAAAAAAAAUUAAAAAGAGGAACCAUUAACCAAACAAAUAGUGAAAUUUGAAAACCACAUAUUAUUCUCAAGCUUGUUAUUUUUAUCAAAUAUGAUAUUUGAAUACUCCAUUUUACUCAACACACAUCUAAGACUUUAUUUUGUCUCUAUAUAUCUCUUUUAUGAUAUCAAACUCUAUAUUCUUAAGAUGUACAAUAGGUGGAUAGGUAUACAAAAAUAAUUUUUAUUCUAGUCCUAGCAUAUAAAAUGCCAUGAAUGUGGGAGAAAUACUUAAUAUGUGAUUAAUUUAAUUAGAAUUUAAUGGUGAUGCAUUCUCGGUAUAAAAUAAUAUUUUAAAAUUAAUUUUAUAAUAACAUCUAAUAAAAAUACGAUCUUCUUAGAUAAGUUUAUUUUGUAACCACAAUUUAAAUAUAAUUGUCAAUUAUUAUAUUUUUUUUAUUGGAUGUUAACUUAAAAUUGAUUUAUGAAUUUUGAAUUUUAUAGUUCCUUUUGACAUUUUAUUAAUUAUCAUUACAUUUUGCAUGUAUAUCGUAAAAACUUAAUUAUGAUAUUGAGUUUUUUCUUAUCAUUGACCAUAUUUCUUGCCCAAGAAAUUUUAUGAAUCUAUCAUUGAUUGCAAAGAAAAAUAUUGCAAAAAGGAGAAGAAAAACACUCCAAAAGCCCUAUAUGACAAGAAGUAAAGUUAGAAAAUCUUGGUGCAAGAUAUUUUUUAUCUUAUAAACCGAGUUUGACCAUAUUAUAAAUAGUUUGGUAAUUUCACUUUUGCAAAAUAUUUGGAUGAGGUCAUAGAAAUAGGUUUAUUGACAAAACAUUAACAGAAAAUGUUUAUUGAAUUUUUUUUAUAAAUAUAUAUAUAUAUAUAUAUAUAUAUAUAUAUAUAUAUAUAUAUAUAUAUAUUUUCUAUUUUCUUAUAAUUAGGCGCGCUCUCGUNNNNNNNNNNNNNNNNNNNNNNNNNNNNNNNNNNNNNNNNNNNNNNNNNNNNNNNNNNNNNNNNNNNNNNNNNNNNNNNNNNNNNNNNNNNNNNNNNNNNNNNNNNNNNNNNNNNNNNNNNNNNNNNNNNNNNNNNNNNNNNNNNNNNNNNNNNNNNNNCAAAAAGAGAAAAUGUAUUUUAUAUUUUUUUUAUAUAUAUAUAUAUAUAUAUAUAUAUAUAUAUAUAUAUAUAUAUAUAUAUAUCCAUAUUCUGUAUUGUCCUAAUUAGGAUGGCGCUAUCGAGGCUGCACAGUACAUUUUCUUUUGAGAAGUUAUGUUUCUGUUUCAACUGAUAAAGUGGUUUUCACACUAAUAUUAAUUAAUCCUAAUAUGUUUUUGACUCAAUAUUAAAUAUCCUAAUAUAAAACUACUAGUGUUUAUUAUUAUAGUAAAAUAAAAUAAAAAUGAAAAAUACAUAUACUAAUGCAACUAUGUAUUGAUGUAUAAGAAGUAGCACCCAUAUAAAACUACUACAAAUACAUCAAAAAGUGUUUUUUUUUGUUGUUGACGAAACCAUAUCAAAAAUACAUUUCUUCAAUACAAAAAAUAUAUUAAGGAUUUCACAAAUAUUAAUUAUAUUUUGAAAAUAUAAAAUGUAUAAUUUUCAACAACAAAAAAUACAAUUCUUCAAUACAAAAUUUAUAUAUUUAAUACAUUAAUAAAUGUCAGAAAAAUACAUAUUAGCAUUUCUUUAAGAUUAAUUAUAAUUCAUUCACGUGGAAAAUAUAUCAUUUUAUUGUUAAAAUGAGUGUUAUAUAUACAAAUCACUUAUUUAAAAUUUGUUUAAUGUCAAUUUCUAAAAAAAAAACACUCAAUUCUUCCAAUAAAGGUGGUUUAAUACUACUAAGCACUCACGAUUGUGAUUUCUACCUUCAAAUGGUUAUAUAACAUAUAACCACUUUGAAUGUGAUCAACAUACACUUGCGACAGCCAACCUUCAGAGUUAUUUGGUUUGUGUGCUAGUUAAAUAUAGAGAAUGUAAUUAAUUGAGUUUAACUUGUUACUUUAUUCAUCCAAAGUGCAAUAGUGUGGGGAAACAAACAAAAAGAUUCUUUCGGAUCUGGUAGUAAAAAUUACAAGUAAUAAACAACAUAUAUACACUUUUUAUUAGAGAAAAUCCAGAUACGGUACUUUAUUUGCAUAUUCGCUACACUUAUUUGAGAAAGCACGGUACUUUCUCUCUGGAUUCCACAAAAUUACAAAUGAAAUAAUUAAUAUGAAUAAUAUAGCAUCGGACUAUCAACCAAUUGCGAUAUAAGUUAAUUACUUGAAAACCUUGUUGACCACCGGACGAGUUUUACACAUGGCCUUUAAUGGAAUCAAUUUUGUUAAAACGAAUCCAUCUCGUUCUGCCAUAUCAAUCUUGUCAUCACUUGUACGUUUCCAAUCAAAGCAUUGAACCAAUAAUGCCAAAGUCAUGCUAAUUGUUCGAAGAGCCAAAGCUUCUCCAGGACACACUCUUCUUCCCAUCCCAAAUGCAAUCACCUUUUCAAUCUCCCCUUUUUUGUCAAACCUCUCCGGCUUGAAGCUUGUGGCCUCACUCCAUGACUUAGGAUCUCUGUGAAUGGCCCAUGCAUUAAUCAAUACUAUGGUGUCUCGUGGUACUUUAUAUCCUCCAAUAAUGCAAUCAUCUGAAGUUGAGUGUGGUAAUAACAAUGGAGCGGGAGUACACAACCGAAGCGUCUCAUAGAUGACAUUUUUAAGAUAAGUAAGUUUUGGAAGGUCUGAUUCAUCUACCAAACGAUCUUGUCCUACAUGAAUAUCCAAUUCAUCCUUUACCUUCUUCAAUAUCUCUGGAUGGUUCAACAAAUUAGACAUUGACCACUCUAAAGUUACAGCAGAUGAGUCGGUUCCAGCAAGGAGCAUGGCCUGCAAUUUUAACUUAACUUGAUCAGUAAAUAAUGACUUAGAAGAGUAAUUUAGUUAUAUAGAUAGUGAAAUUAUGAUUCAAAGUAAUUAUCAUGUAUAUACCAAAGCAAGGCCUUUGAUGAUCUGAUCAGUGUAGUACUCAGGUUGUGAUUCUUGCAAAUUUAGAAGAUGGUCAAUCAUGGUGUUUGUACGUUCCUUCUUGUUGCGUUGUUCUUGAAGGAGGCCUCUCAAGAAUGCGUCCGUUUUGUCAGCAAUAUUCUUAACCCUUUUCUCCAAGUUUUCAAAAUCAAAAAAUUUAAGCAAAGGCAUGAAAUCAGUUUUGUUAUUUGCACCAGACAAUUGCAGCAGUUCAGUAACCAUAUCCCUGAAUUGACUUGCUUCUUGAAGAUCACUCAUGUCACAAUCUUCUCCGUAGUAUCUCUUUCCAGAGAUCAUUCGCAUGAUGUUGUUGAAGGUCAUAUCGUAGAAUCUGAAACUAAGUUCUACUUCAGCAAAGGAAGUGGAUGAAUCCUCGGCCAACUUCGUGAUUAAUCGUUGAGUCUCAUCCCUUCGGACUCCAGAGAAGUUGUUGAUGCGGUGGUUCGAAAGAACAUCGAGGGAAGUGAUACGACGAAGGUUGCGCCAGUGUUCACUGUAAGAGGUGGAUCCUAAGGUAGUAUAAUUGUAGAAGAUGUAUUUUCCAGAGAGAAAACGAGGCCUAUUUGCUAGGACAACAUCGUUUUUAGUGAAGCAUUGUUGGAAUUCGGAUAGAGAAGAAACAACAACAACAAGACGUGAACCAAACCAAAGAGAAAUGAUAUCACCAUAAGUUUUAGAGAGUCCCUUAAAGGUGCGGUGGAGGGGACGUUUGAGAUGAUGGAGGUUGCCAAUUAUGGGAAGAGAAGGUGGACCUGGUGGGAGAUUUUUGAAUUUUCUUGAUUGGAACAAAAGCCUAAUGAUGAAAAAGAAAGAAAGAUAAAAGAGAGAGUAGCACAACAAGGAAAGGAUCCCCAUGAAUGUGUUUGUUUUGGUUACAGAAAUGCUUGCUUAAGUUGUUACUUGGUGAAAGAGUGAUUGUGGUGAUAACAAAUUAAGUAUGGUAUCUAUUUAUAGAGAGGAGAGCAUUAAUAGAGCAUACUGCAAGUGCCAUAUAGUAACUAAGUAUUUUACUUGGGGCUGCUUGACGCAUUCGGCAGCGUCAAGUCGUCGAUAGUUGCUCCCAAAUCAAACCUUCCAGUACUACCAAAUGUUUUUUGUCCACGUGAUUUCACUGUCUUUUCUCAUUAAAUUUGGUUUUGCUUAGAGAUCUCUUAUGGUAGCUAAAAUGAGUUCGUCCGUCAGGUAUAAGGUAUAAUUAAGUAACUUUCAGUUUUUGGCGAGUUGGAGACGUGUCAAGCUAUUAUCACAUUUCUUUCACGAAAGAAUGGUGCGGUUAUCUUUUUUUAUUAUUAAUUUAUGAAUAAUAAUAAAUAAAUGAUAUUAUACUUUGAUAUGAUUUUUUUUUAUAAUUAUUUUAUGAAUAAUAAUAAAUAAAUGAUUUGUUAGUGGUGGACCUUAUUUAAUUAACAUGUGAGUUCACCGCUGAGGUAAAAAAUGAAUGAGUUAUUUCAAUAUAAUGUGGCACGGUGGACUCCACUUUUAAAAAAUAUUAUUAAAAAUAAUAAUUUAACAAUUUUCGUUGUUAAUAAUUGAUAUAUUUUUUUAAAUUAUUUUAAAUGUAUGCUGAAAUAUAAGGUUUUAAAAAUAAUGUACGUAUUAAAGUUUCGUUUCCAGUUAUAAGAUUUUAUUUAACUUUUUUUUUUGUCUUUAAUAUAAGACUUGUUUUAAAAUUCUACAUUAACUAAUGAUUGUUUCUUUAGAAAAAUGCUCCUAUUUAAUUUACUGUUAUUUUUUGUGAUAUCCAUAAUUGGAUGAGUAAAUGUAUAAAAGUAAUACUUUUUAAACAAAUUUAUUAUAUCAGUGUUUUUCUAAUAUGCAUAAAUUUUAUUGAAAGGUAUUUUUAUAAUGUACAUAAGAAAUAUUAAUUAAAGAAUAUAACUAGAAGAAAUAAUUAAUUUUACAACGAAAACUAUAAAUAAUUUUUAUUUUGAGAUAAUUUUACUAAAUUAAUAUUUAUUAUGAAAUAGAUAAAAUAUUAAUUUAUUUUAAAAAACAAAAAUAUCAUUUCGUAAUUGUAUUACAGUAAAGAUUAAUUUUUUGAAAAAUACAUAAAAAUUUAUUUUAAAAAGUUAACAUUUUUCGACCACUAUUUUUACAUAUAUAUAUAAUCAAAUAUUUGAUUAUAGUAUUUAAGUAAUUAAUUAUUAUUAUGGUUAAAAUUAAAAAAAUUUCUAUGAAACUUGUCCUUACUUUCAUAUAUAUAUAUAUGUUGGUGAUGGCUUUUAAAGAAAAAUAAAAUGCGAAUUUUUUUCCCGAGUAGCUUAAUUUGUUUGACAAUUCUGUGUUAAAGAAGGCGGCUAUAUCUUAAGAAGUACGCCAAUUUAUUAAUAAAAAGAAGAAAAUAAAGACUACCAAGGCAAUGACCAUUGCGUAGGUGGUCAUAAGAAAACAAUUAUGUGCCAUAUAAUAUGCUUCGAAAUUAAUGAUUCCAGAUACCACGUAUCAGUCAGCCGCCUCCUCUCUUGUAUUUCUUUAAAAAAUCCCACGUUCUCUAUUUUUUUCUUCAUCUUUUAAAAUAGUUUAAAACCAUUUUUUUUUUUCAAAAUCAACUUCUUCAAAUUAUUUUAUUUGCUUUUUAUUUCAAUUUGUGAUUUUUUUUUCGUGUUUUCUAUUUAUUUUAUGAUUUGAGCGCAGUGUUGGGUUAAUUUGUCAUACUCACAUGAUCGUGAGGGUUCCAAAAGUUUUUGUUUAAUAAUAUAAUAAAAUAAAAGUAAAUUAUAACCUUUAAAAUUUAAUCUCUAAAAAAAGUUAUUGAUUUUUAAUCUCUAUUUUAAUUUAAUAAGAAAUUUUUUGAAGGACCAAAACUAUCAAUUGUUUGCAAAAAAAAUUCAAAAUAGGAAAGAAAAAUGAAUAAAAUAAUUAUUUUAAGAACUAAAAAGUUGAGAAUUUCUUUGCAAGGACUAAAAUUUUAUUUUUUUAAUUAUUAAAAUUGCACUUUAUUUUUAUUAAGGACCUAAUUUUUAAUAUUCAAACAAGACAUCCAAAAUAUUUAAGACGAUAUAUCCUAGUAAAUGACUUAUAAAAGAUAUUAUUAAAUUCAACUCUCUUUCCACUUUACGUAUGACUCGUGCAACAUGAUUGAAUUAAUUUUAUUAGAAAUUAACUCUAAGUAAAUAUUCUUUUUUCAUAUAUUGGUAAAAUUAAAUAUGGUAGAUUUUAUAUUAUUCUUGACCAUUGAUGUUAUAGAAAAGAAAUUAGUUUGGCUGUAAAAACAAAAAAAAUUAAUUUUAAUUUAAUUAUUUUUUAUUGGUUUCUUAAAAAUUUAUGUGUAUCCUUAAUUUAAUUUGAUUAUUUCUCAUUAGAUUUAAUAUAAAAUAUUAAUUAAUAAAACAUAUCUCAACUCAUAAUAAUUUAAUUGUUGCUGUUUUUUUUUUUGAGUAAUUAAUUUUAUACAUAAUAAAAAUAGUGAUUAAAUUAUCCAUAAAACCUAAUUCAACUGUUAAUUAUCAAAAUUAUUAAAAUGAUAAUCAUGUUAUAAAUAAGAAUUUAGGGUUCGUAGUUGUAUGCGAAUUUUUUUACUAUUUUAUUUACAGCCAAAAUAAAAUACUGGUUAAACUAACUUAAUUUUUUAAUGUAAUAAAAAUUUCAUUAACAAACCUAUAAUUCUUUUCAAUUAAUUUUGUAUGAGAUCUUUUUUACUAAUCAAAUUAGGUUAUUUUGUUUAUAUUUUAGACUAUCAAAUGUAUCUUUUUACAAAACUAUCUUGUUGAUUGAAAUAAAAUAGUAGAAUUGAUCAAUUUUUUUGAGGUAAAAAUCUUUGUGAUGUAUUUUUAAUGACAAUAAAUCUUAUGAAAUAAAUGAUUAAGUUUUAUGAAUGACGAUCUACUAAUGAUUGCACUUGAGAUUUAUUUAAGGAACAUGAAUUGCACAAGUGAAAAAACAAGAAAUCAUUCACAUCAUCAAAAUACAUAACUAUCUAAUCAAUAAUGAAUGAAUCUAAAAUAAAAAAAAAAAACAUAUAUCAAUCAUUCAAGAGAAUGACUAUUACAUUCUUAAGAUAGCAUCUUCAUGAAGAAGGUGAUCAAAUACAUUCGUACAACAAUCAAUGAUCACACCAUGUUGUAAAUCAAAUCAAGUCAUAACUAAAUUGGAAAUUGACAACAAGAUCAUUCUGGUUUAUAGCAAGAUCAUUCUGGUUUAAAACAUGAUUAUUCUGGUUUAUCAAGAUCAUUUUAGUUUAUUAAAAACAACAUAUGGAAAAGCAAUAUUCAUUUUGGUUUAUUAAAAACAACACUCUAGAAAAAUGAAGAUCAUUCUAGUUUGAGAAAAUACCAAUUAUAUUCACACUAUCAUUAUGGAUAAUUUGUUUGGAAUGAAAUGAAUAAAUCCCAGAUUUCAAGUGUGUUAAAUAUCAAGGCAACUCUGAUCCAUGAUCAAAACCCAAAAAGUGUAGCUAAAGGUCCAAAGAAGCAAACAACAUCAUGAUCAAUCUCUAGAUUGAUGAGCUAUAAGCAAGGACAACUAGGUCAACAAGGAUAUUACUAUUGCACCUUUUUACAAAAAUUACAUCAUGCUUCUGAGACAAAUGAUUGACACUAAACAACUACUAAAUCAUUCAUCCACGUUUUCCAUCCAACACAAAACCAAGAACGCUCUGGUUUUACAAAAGAACAUUACAUUUUUUCUCUUUUAAAGAAAUAAUUAAAAACAUAUCAUUUUCCACAAUUCAAACCACAAUUUAAAGAGUAUCAAGACUGUUCAACUCAAUGGUGAAGCCCAGAACUCGAGCAAAAUGUCUAAAGGAGAAAAUAGCAUCAAGAUUGAUCUCCAAAUUGAUGAGUUGUGAGAAAGGACGCAAGUGCAUUAUACUUACAAUAUUCUGCAGAAAGCUAUGCAUAAUUCUGAUUUGAAAUACUAUCAAUGGUAUUUCAUAGCUCAUUUACUCACUCAUUCCCAUUUUCCAUCAAACUCAAAAACAAAAAUGUUCUUCGUUUGUCAAGAACGUUAUGGACAAAAAUAUAAAGAUGUGUUUAACUGCUUUAAAAUAUAUCUGAGACUUGAAAAGCGCAUCCAACGACUAUAUUUAGUUUAAAUUGAAUAUUCAAAGCAUUUUAUCAUCUAAAAAAUUGAAAAUCAAUUGGGAGAUGAAGACAAAAGUUCAAUUUACAAAUCUAGCAACACUUGUUCAAGUAAUAACAAUUCAAAAACUCUUCAAGCAAACUCCAAUUUUUUUCACUAUAUUUUUGGAUCAUCAUUUACUAAGUUUGUCUUUAUUUAUCUCAAACAAGUGUUGAGAAGUUUCAAGAUUCCAAACACUUUUAUCAUACACGUCAUUUUAACUCAAUUAUAUCGUUUAUGUUAAAUUGAGUGUGUUUGUAAAAAUCAUUUCUAGACUGAAAUAUGAAAAUUAUAAUUGAUCAAGGUGUGAUCAAGAGAAAAUGUGUGAAGGAGAAUAUUCUGAUUAUGAAGCACAUAAUGAAAAUCUCACAAUUAUGAGGAUUGGACUAGCCCAAGUUGGGUGAUUCAAUAUACUUUUUGUGAGUGAUAUUUCUGUCACUUAUCUUUAAUUAUUUGCACAUAAAAAUCACACUUCAUUAUAAACUAAUUUGUUUUAUUUACUUCUAACAUAUCCAGAACAUUUCAGACAUUAUGUUUCAACAAAGAUUAAUUUUGAGUUAAUUUAAGUUAAGUACAAGAAUCAAAAUCUUAGAAGGGUCACAAUUCAAACCCCAUUUUUUUGUGAUUGACAUUGCUACUUCAAUUGGCAUCAGAGUUUUGCCUAUAAAAUUGAGCACCUAACAAGUGUUAGAGGAAAAGAUUAAUGAAGAAAAAGUAAUGUCAUAAGCCAACAUAUGCUUAAUGGAAAAUUAGAAAAUAAUGAGGCAACCACAUCUGAACUCUGUGUUUUAUGUGAACAAAUAGAAAAAUAAUUUGAUAAUCUUUUAUGUGAUUCAAACUUUCUUGUCAAAAAAUGUGGUUUAUUAAAAGAACAAAAUCUAAAGAAAAAUAAGAAAAAGAGAAAGCCUAAACUAUAAAUGACGAACUCAUAAAGGUCAUCCAAAACCUGCAAAAGAUUCUCAAUGAGAUAACCAUAAAAAAUCAUCUUUUAGAAUGUUCUAAAACUAAAUAAAAAAAAUACCUCAAGAGGUCACUAACACACCUUGUACCAUUGUUUUGAGAUGAGAUUAAUUUAAGUGGAAACGUGGGAAGUACUACUCAAGCAGAUAAAUUAUGAGUCUUCCUUUAUUUUAUGUUGAUUAUUGUGGUUACGAAAUUGUAUCAUUGGUUGUAAAAAGAGUUUGGGGGUUUACUUUACCACAAUGAUUGUAAAAUUGUUUCAAACAGGGUGUUCUCUACCCACAAUACUCGCUCCUUCUACUACGCUCUGGCUUCCCAUUGAACCUUGUUAACAUAUAGUUACCCCUACUUAUUAACAUCCACAUUUAUAUGGUGCAAAGAAUAUACCCGAAUAGAGCAUUUCAAGGACUUCCUCCACCCACCCAUCACCUUUACCUUCCUUAUCAACAUAAAAAGAGAAAUCAAAACCUACUGAUGAAUAAAAUUAAUGCUUGUUAGACUUAUUGAACUCCACAAAAUCCCUAACAUAGUUCUCAAUCAUAUAAGAAAUUGGAAUGUCAUAUGAAUGGACUUAAUUCCAUGUUAUCUGAUGAAUAAGAGUACCAGUGGCCAACCACUAUAUCUUCAAUACGCAUGACUCGUUAAUCGGUCAUAAUCAAUUUAUUUUUAUAAUUCAAAUGACCCCUAAACUAAAAAAUAAUAAAAUUCAUAAGAUACACAUGCCUAGCUAUUUCUGUUUGUAUACUCCUUGGUCAAGUUGACUUAUUUGUUCAAAAUUUACAAACUCUUGUAGCAUAUAUGCCCAACUAUAUAUAUUCUCUAAAAGCCGAUACUACCUUCCUUAUAUUAUAGCCUGGGGGUUUGGGGUGGUAGUUUUAUUUAAACUUUUUUGUUUCACUUUAAUUAAUUUUAAAAGUUUAGUUUGGUAACAUGACUUCAAGCUGGUUCUUUUAACUUGUGUCUCUUAAUGUCUAUUGGUCAUUUCUGUCAAAAUAACUAUUUCAUAUGAAAAUCCUAACAACCAUCCAUUAUUUAGAAGUUUCAACAAUUAUAUAUAUAAUCCCUCUUUCAAAAUCCAAUCAAACCGAACAAAUUAAAUACAUAAAUAAAUGAAUAUAAACACAUAUAAAAACUCACAACUAAAUCACGCGAUGAACAUUAGAAAACUCAUAAAUAAAAUUGCUUAAAAACACAAAUUUGUUGGUGUAAUUCUUGUAUUCUAUAGUUGAUUAUGAAGCUAGUGGUUGUUUGUAAAAAAAGAAAAAAAUAUGUGCAUGAUUUGAUUAACCUUUUCUUAUACUUAUUUUUUUCUCUUUUGUUGGGUUAGGUUUAUGUCCCCCGUUUUUCUUUUUCUUUUCUUUUAAUACAUUUUUAACUUAUAAAAGAUGAUAAUUGAAAUAUUAGUGUCAUAUUGAAGAAAAAUAUCAACUUCCAUUAAAAUACAUAUAGUUAAGGGAUCAUCUUAACUAAUUUUAAAGUUAUGGAAUCGAAUUAACCUUUUAAAAUAAGUUAAUUAAUGAACUAAAUAUGUAUUUAAGUCAUUUAUUUAACAAAUAAAUCAAAUACAAUUUUUUUACAAUUUUUUGUCUAAUAAGUGAUUGAGCGCGAACAAAACCAAAAUCCCCAAACAAUGAAUCAAAAUCAACCAUGUAUAUAAGAAUUCCUAGAACCAUGGAGGAAAAUGAAUUUCAAAGUUUGAGAGCUUAUAAAAGAGAGGAAAUUCUCAACAAAAAAAAAUAAUAAUGAAAACAACACAUUGAACUCUAUAUAUUAAAUUAGCAUGUAACGACUAAACUAAAUUCCAAUCUAAAUCGUGCUCGCACAGCACCAGGUUAUCCCUAAUUUAUUUUGUCUCAGUGAUUGUGUUUGUCGUAUUUUCCUGUCAUUAUUUGUUAUGGCUGGUGUUAAGGAUGAUCCUCUUCAAGCUGUUAGUGUUCACCUCAGUGGACAAAAUUACUCUUAUGUGGACAAAAAAUUUUUUAUUGGAAAAGAUAUGUGGAGUUUUGUUGAUGGAACUUCUGUUAAGCCUACAGAUAAAAAGGAUGAAACUCAAUAUACAAAAGAUCUGAAAACAUGAAAUGUUAGUAAUUCAAAAAUUAUUACUUGGAUUAAUAAUUAUGUUGAGUUGUCUAUAGGAGUACAACUAGCAAAAUAUGAUAUUGCUAAAGAGAUUUGGGAUCACUUGAAACGUUUGUAUGUGUAGUCUAACUUUGCAAAACAUUAUCAGUUGGAAAGUGAUAUUAGAGCCCUUAAGCAGAGCAGUAUGACCAUUCAGGAAUUCUAUUCGGCAAUGACUAAUAUGUGGGAUCAAUUGGUUCUUAUGGAAUCACCUAAGUUGAAAGUUGUCAAAGCAUACAUUGAUCAAAGAGAGGAGCAACGUCUGGUUUGGUUUCUAAUGGCUCUUCGUGAUGAUUUUGAGGGCAUUCGUAGGGGUAUUUUGCAUCGUUCCCCCCUUCCUAAUGUUGAAUCAGUAGUUAGUAAAUUGUUGGCAGAAGAAAUCAGACUUAAGACUCAUUCUGGUGUGUUAGAUAAGGAAAUUCUCUCAACUCCUCCAUCAGUUUUUGUUGCUCCUAUUAAAAAAAAAGAACAUCUCAAGGGAGAGUUGAGCUUGGUAAUGAUGAAUGUGCAUUCUGUAAAGAAAAAUGUCAUUGGAAAGCACGUUGUUCGAAAUUGGGGAGAGCACAUAAGAAGAAUUUUAGGGGGUCAUUGUCCAAUGUUGUUGCUUCUGCUCCUCCUACCAUUGGCUCUAGUUCUAGUUCUGUAUACUCAUCUGAGACUGAUUCCCAAAUAUCUGAUAUUGCAGAACAACUUCAAAGACUUCUUGUCACUCAAUCACAUGCCAUGUCUGCCACCUCUUCUAAAUGUUUGAACUCCUCUAGUAUGUCAGGUAUAUCUCCUUCCAUAUGGAUUCUUGAUUCUGGAGCAUCUCAUCAUAUGACAUACGAUGAUAAAUCUUUUGUGUCUGUGAAAUUUGCCUCGUUUGUGUCGAUUAUGACUGCUGAUGGCACUCCUAUGCCACUAGCAGGCAUUGGUUCUUUCUCCACACCUAACUUGUCUCUUUCUAAUGUUUAUUAUAUUCUUAAUCUUACUUUGAGUCUUGCUUCUGUUAGUCAAAUAUGUGAUUUCGGUUAUUCGGUUAUGUUUUCUUCCACUUCUUGUUGUGUGCAGGAUCCACAUUUCGGGAGGCUGAUUGGGACAUGCCAUAGACAGGGGAGACUUUACGUUUUGGAUGACCUACGACUCCUAGAUAUUGCAGCCUCAACAACUACUGCUGACUUAUUAUCUAGUUUUCGCUUGAAUUCCUUAUCUUCUAGUUUUUAUUUAUGGCAUUCUCGCCUUGGACAUGUUUCUGCUUCUAGAUUAAAAUAUUUGGCUUCUACUGGAGCCUUAGGAAAGUUACAACCCUGUGAUAUCUCAGAUUGUUGUGGUUGUAAACUUGCUAAAUCUCCAGCUUUACCGUUUAGUAAAAGUGUUUCCAUUUCAUAUGCGCCUUUUGAUUUAGUUCACUCUGAUGUUUGGGGUCCAUCACCGGUUCUCACCAAAGGUGGAUCUAGAUAUUAUGUUUCGUUUAUUGAUGAUUACACUCGUUAUUGUUGGGUUUAUCUUAUGAAAAAUCGGUCUGAAUUUUUUGACAUUUAUCAUAUAUUUCGUGCAAUGGUCAAAACUCAACAUAAUUCUAUUAUAAAGUGUUUUCGUUGUGAUUUAGGUGGUGAAUAUACCUCUAAUAAAUUUUCUGAAUUACUUGCUUAUGAUGGCACCCACCACCAAACAUCUUGUACUGAUACUCCUCAACAAAAUGGAGUUGCUGAAAGGAAACAUCGUCACAUUAUAGAGACUGCUCGUUCCCUUUUGUUGUCUGCUUCAGUUCCUAGUGAGUUUUGGGGAGAAACAGUUCUUACUGUUGUCUAUGCUAUUAAUAGAAUUCCAUCCUCUAUAAUAUCAGGUUUGUCUCCCUUUGAAAAAUUGUAUGCUUCUACCCCUGAUUACUAUUCUUUGAAAGUUUUUGGUUCUACUUCUUUUGUUCUUCGCCCUCAAGUAGAGCACAAUAAGUUGUCUUCUCGUUCAGCUAUGUGUGUUUUUCUUGGUUACGGUGAUGGUCAAAAUGGUUAUAGUUGUUAUGAUCCUCAUGCCUAAAAAUUUUAUGUAUCUCGUAAUGUUGUUUUUCUUGAGCACAUCCCUUUUUACUCUGUUUCCUCUAAUUCUCAAAUUACUAAGAGUUCUGAACUAACUCAUAUUGAUCCGUUUGGUCCUAAUGAUAGCGCUUCUAGUAAUUGUAAUGUUGAGAAUUGCAGGACAAAUACUACUACUCCACAUGAUUACAUCCCUCUUGUCCCUCCGGCUGUCCAACCACCUCCUGCGAUUGUUGAUCCUCCUCGUUACCCUUCUCGUCAACGUAAGUCUACUCAGUUACCUGAUUUUGUCUAUUCAACUUACUCAGCUUCGUUUGCUUCUUUCUUAACCUCUAUUCACAGUUUGUCUGAGCCCUCUUCCUAUAAAGAGGCUGUUCUUGAUCCUCUUUGGCAGCAGGCUAUGGCAGAAGAACUAUCUGCAUUGCACAAAACCAACACUUGGGAAUUAGUACCUCUUCCUCCUGGAAAACGUGCUAUUGGGUCUCGUUGGGUAUACAAGAUCAAAACUAAGUCUGAUGGGUCAGUUGAGCGCUACAAAGCACGUCUUGUUGCUAAGGGUUUCUCUCAACAAUAUGGUAUGGAUUAUGAAGAAACUUUUGCUCCUGUAGCCAAGAUGACCACUAUUCGUACUCUUAUUGCAGUUGCAUCUAUUCGUCAAUGGCAUAUUUCCCAAAUGCGAUUGUUGAUCCUCCUCGUUACCCUUCUCGUCAACGUAAGUCUACUCAGUUACCUGAUUUUGUCUAUUCAACUUACUCAGCUUCGUUUGCUUCUUUCUUAACCUCUAUUCACAGUUUGUCUGAGCCCUAUUCCUACAAAGAGGUUGUUCUUGAUCCUAUUUGGCAGCAGGCUAUGGCAGAAGAACUAUCUGCAUUGCACAAAAUCAACACUUGGGAAUUAGUACCUCUUCCUUCUAGAAAACGUGCUAUUGGGUCUCGUUGGGUAUACAAGAUCAAAACUAAGUCUGAUGGGUCAGUUGAGCGCUACAAAGUACAUCUUGUUGCUAAGGGUUUCUCUCAACAAUAUGGAAUGGAUUAUGAAGAAACUUUUUCUCCUAUAGCCAAGAUGACCACUAUUCGUACUCUUAUUGCAGUUGCAUCUAUUCGUCAAUGGCAUAUUUCUCAAAUGGAUGUCAAAAAUGCCUUUUUUAAAUGGUGAGCUUCAUGAAGAAGUCUAUAUGGUCCCUCCACAAGGAGUUUCUCAUGAUCCAUGGGAAGUAUGUAAGUUAAAAAAGGCUCUAUACAGUCUUAAAUAGGCUCAUCGAGCUUGGUUUGAGAAAUUCUCUACUGUGAUCACUUCUCUUGGUUUUCGCUCUAGUGAACAUGAUUCUGCAUUGUUUGUAAGGUCCACCACUCAUGGUCGCAUUAUACUUUCUCUAUAUGUUGAUGAUAUGAUUAUUACAGGUGAUGAUGUUAGUGGAAUUAAUGAGUUGAAAUUGCAGUUAGCCAAACAGUUUGAGAUGAAGGACUUGGGAACUCUUCGCUAUUUCUUGGGGAUUGAAGUUGCCUACUCUCCUAGAGGCUACCUUCUUUCUCAAUCCAAGUACAUUGCCAACAUUCUUGAUCAGGCUCGUCUUUCUGAUACUAGAGCAGCAGAUACUCCUCUUGAGUUGAAUGUAAAAUAUGCUCCCUCGGAUGGUGUUCCUUUACCAGAUUCCACUUUGUAUCGUACUUUGGUUGGCAGCUUAGUGUAUCUUACGAUUACCAGACCUGACAUUGCUUAUGCUGUUCAUGUUGUUAGUCAGUUUGUUGUCUCCCCCACUACAGUACAUUGGGCAGCAGUUCUUCGGAUUCUUCGUUAUCUUCGAGGAACUCAAUUUCAAAGUCUUCUCUUUCCAUCGUCAUCCUCAUUGGAGUUACGAGCUUAUUCUGAUGUACCAGAUUCCACUUUUUAUCGUACUUUGGUUGGCAGCUUAGGGUAUCUUACGAUUACCAGACCUGACAUUGCUUAUGAUGUUCAUGUUGUUAGUCAGUUUAUUGUCUCUCCCACUACAGUAUAUUGGGCAGCAAUUCUUCGGAUUCUUCGUUAUCUUCGAGGAGCUCAAUUUCAAAGUCUUCUCUUUCCAUCGUCAUCCUCAUUGGAGUUACGAGCUUAUUCUAAUGCUGAUUGGGCUGGUGAUACCACUGAUCGUAAAUCAACCACAAGGUUUUGUAUCUUUCUUGGAGACUCUCUUAUUUGUUGGAAGAGUAAGAAACAAGACAUUGUCUCUCGCUCUUCUACAGAAGCUGAGUAUCGUGCUAUGACAUCCACUACCACUGAAAUAAUUUGGUUGCGUUGGCUUUUGUCUGAUAUGGGUAUCUCUCUUUCUGAGCCAACUCCGAUGCACUGCGAUAACAAGAAUGCUAUUCAAAUUGUUCACAACUCGGUCUUUCAUGAACGCACCAAACACAUUGAGAUUGAUUGUCAUCUUACUCGUCAUCAUCUUCAGCAUGGAACUAUUACUCUACCAUUUGUCUCUUCUUCUUUACAGAUUGCUGAUUUGUUCACAAAGAUGCAUUCCAUUAAACGUUUCCGUUUUUUAGUUGACAAAAUUUCGAUGCUCCAUGUUAAUGCAUCGUGAGUUUGAGGGGAGAUAUUAGAUAAUAUUAUUAUAUAUUAAUAGUAAGGGUAUUUUAGAUAUUUUUUAUUUUCCUAUAUAUAUAUACUCAUUGUAACUCUAUUAACUUUAGUUUUGGUUCAUUAUAUGUUAUAAAACCCUAGAGUGGUUGUUUCUCUUCUUCCUCUUUCUUUCUCUUUUCAUUGUUAACACUUUUAACUUGUGUCUCUUAAUGUCUAUUGGUCAUUUCUGUCAAAAUAACUAUUUCAUAUGAAAAUCCUAACAACCAUCCAUUAUUUAGAAGUUUCAACAAUUAUAUAUAUAAUCCCUGUUUCAAAAUCCAAUCAAACCGAACAAAUUAAAUACAUAAAUAAAUGAAUAUAAACACAUAUAAAAACUCACAACUCAAUCACGCGAUGAACAUUAGAAAACUCAUAAAUAAAAUUGCUUAAAAACACAAAUUUGUUGGUGUGGUUCUUGUAUUCUAUAGUUGAUUAUGAAGCUAGUGGUUGUUUGUAAAAAAAGAAAAAAAUAUGUGCAUGAUUUGAUUAGCCUUUUUUUAUACUUAUUUUUUUCUCUUUUGUUGGGUUAGGUUUAUGUCCCCCGUUUUUCUUUUUCUUUUCUUUUAAUAAAUUUUUAACUUAUAAAGGAUGAUAAUUGAAAUAUUAGUACUGUCAUAUUGAAGAAAAAUAUCAACUUCCAUUAAAAUACAUAUAGUUAAGGGAUCAUCUUAACUAGUUUUAAAGUUAUGGAAUCGAAUUAACCUUUUAAAAUAAAUUAAUUAAUGAACUAAAUAUGUAUUUAAGCCAUUUAUUUAACAAAUAAAUCAAAUACAAUUUUUUUACAAUUUUUUGUCUAAUAAGUGAUUGAACGCGAACAAAACCAAAAUCCUCAAACAAUGAAUCAAAAUCAACCAUGUAUAUAAGAAUUCCUAGAACCAUGGAGGAAAAUGAAUUUCAAAGUUUGAGAGCUUAUAAAAGAGAGGAAAUUCUCAACAACAAAAAAUAUUGAAAAAAAAAAUAAUGAAAACAACACAUUGAACUCUAUAUAUUAAACUAGCAUGUAACGACUAAACUAAAUUCCAAUGUAAACACUAAGUAUAACUAAGAGUUAAUCAACCCAAACGAAAUAACUAUAACUCAAUUAUUAUUCUUAACAACAUAAAAACUUCAAAUAUAUGUAUAUAUUUACAAUUUACAAUUUACAACCAGGAAUAUAGAAAAUUAGGAGUUAGAGCAGCCAAUUACAACUAUAUAGAAAAAGCAGUAUCCAAACAUAAGACAAUUACCACAAUAUCUAUACAUUAUAAUAAAGCAAACAUGAUAAACUGGCAAGUUUGACACGUGUCAACAAACUAGAGUUUUAAGAAAAUAUCAAGUUUCUAUUAAUAGAAAUAAUACGUGCUUGCAUAAAACAUCUGUUACAUCACGAUCUUUGUCCACGAUACAUCCGUUGAGAAUUUAAUGGUCAAUUAAAAAAUUAAAAAUAAAAUACAAUACACCACGACUUAGACAGUUUUUUCUAUGCGUCAUGAGAAGUUAAUGGCCAAUUAAAAAAUAAGAAAAAUAAAUUAAAAAUAAAAGAUUUUUUUUAAAGAAAAAAAUAAAACUUUCAUUACAUGAUGCACGACGUGACAUUUCACAUUUUACAGUUGAGAAUUGAGUGGCCAAUUGAAAGAUAAUUAUUUUUAAAACACUACUUUAGCAACCACCCAUUCAAAUCUAUCUAUCUAUACAAUAUAAUAAAGCAAAGAUGGUAAUUUGGAAAGUUUGACACGUGUCAGUUAAACAGAGGGUUAAGAAGAUAUAAGUUUGAAAUAAUAUUUUUUUUUGGAAUAAAAUUAAAUUUAUGUUACAUUGUACAUGCGUCAGUUGAAAAGUUAGUGGCCAAUUAAAAAAUAAAAGAAUUAAUUAAAAAUAAAAUACACUACACCACUACUUACGUUUCACCGUUGAGAAUUUAGUGGUCAGUUAGAAAAGAAAAAAAAUAACAGCAAAAUACGUUUAAUUACACCCACCACGACGUGACACUUUUUGGAAUUGUUUUUUAAACACUACUUUCAACCACAGUUUCAAAUUAAUUUAUUUUAUUUUACGAAUUCUUUUAAUUUCCGUCGUACUUUCUUUCUUAAUUCAUGUGCUCCGUAAACCGUCUCUCUUCAAUUCUCUCUCAUUUCUUGUGUCUCCGUUAUAAAUAUCAUUCAUAUUAUCUCGGUAUAUACAAUUCCUUUUUUAAAUUUUCUUUACCAAAACUUUCUUAUUCAUCUUUAUCCAAUGUCAAUGUCUGAAAACAAAAAUCUUCGUUGCUUCAAUUUCUUCAUCAAAGUUUGUUACUUCAAUUUCUCCAAUAAAUGAGUCAUGAAAUUUGGUUGUUAGAAUUGUGCGAAUGUGGUUUCUGUCUUGAUCUCCUCAAUGCCAAACAAAACUUUUAUGCAACGGAAAUAGUACUGACAUUCGCGAGCUUUUAUUUCUCGAUUUGAGUUUAAUAUUCCUGGUGGAACUAUGUAUUUGUUCGUGCUUCUAACAACUUUCUGGAGUAUACGUUCACACAAAUUACUUAAAUGGUAAAUUUUGUUCAAUAAAAAGAUUACUAUUUUGUUAUGUAUAUAUAUAUUUUGUAUUGUUUAUGUUUCUUAAUUUUGUCUCAAAAAAUUGUAAAUUUGUAUAUGUAUAUUUCUAUCCUCUUAUAUAAGAUUUGUCUUAAUAAUUUCGAUUUUAAAUUCACUCAUAAAUAGUCAACAAAUUGUACAUUUGUAUAUUUAUAUUUCUAUUCUCUUAUACCAGAUUUGUCUUAAUAACUCUGAUUUUAAAUUCUCUCACAAAUAGUUGCUGCCUGUGCUAAUAAUUUUGAUUUUAGGUUGUCUAAUAACAGUUUUGGCAAACAGAUAUAUUAAAUAAAAAAUAAUAAUUUAUUUAAGUAAAUAUAAAAUUUAUGUAUGAAUUAAAAAAACAAUUCAUUUCAUCGAUUCAUUUAGUAGUACCAAAAUGAAAUAUAUUUUGCCACUUGAUACAGCAAAAUUUAUAUUAAUUCUUAAAUGUCAUAUAUUUCAUAUAAAUAACAUAUUUUGAAUAAUAAAAAUAAAAAUUCAUUAUUAGGUUACUUACUCAUCUUUACAUUUACUAAUUUACUUAUUUUAUAUAUGUUCAUGUCUAUUAUUUAAAAAAAAUUAUUUCAUCUAAUCUAAUUAUUUAAUUUUUUUUAAUAAUUAUUGUUUUUAUUUGUUUAAAAUUAAAAGUAUUUGCUUUAUAGUAAGUUUUUUGGAAAGAAAAAAGAUUAUGUGUAGAAUUCAAAAAUAAGUCAUCAUCAUUUGAGUAAGAUUAAAGAGUGGUGUUAGAAUCAUACUUUUUAUCAAUAACAUUGAGCCUAUAAGAAAGUAGUUUUUAAGUUAAGUUAAAAUUAGAUUUUUUUUAAUUUUUUUAUUGUAAAUUAUUUUUUUUAAGUCAACAUAUUUUUUUAAUGUCAAUAAAAUUUAUGAAAUUUGAUAUAUAUAUAUAUAUAUAUAUAUAAAAUAUAACCAUUUAUUUAUUAAAAUCAUUGUUUCCGUGCGGCUGCACGGGUUACAAACUAGUAUAUAGAAAAAGUAGAAAUCAAAUGAUUUUUCAUCUACAUCCAUCAAAAGACUAACAUACAUUCAAUAGGUCGGUCCCACAACCUAUCCACCAUCAAAUUAUUUAGUAUUUGUAUGUUCUGGAUACCCACUAUAUGCCACUACACACAUAAUCAACCAACUGAUUGUUUUCUUUUACUCAUCCUAGACGCAAGUUGCAACAAUGUAAAGGAACAAAGGGAACUUGUUAUAUCUUUUUCAGGACACAUUUAACACCGAUUGAGAAUACAUAUACAGUACUUGCACAUUUAUGAAUAAAAAUUUCAAAGAACUCUAGAACUAGAAGGUUCGACGGAAAUUGAUUCCUUGAAAACCUUGUUUACGAUCAAACGAGUUUUACACGUGGCUCUUAAUGGAACUAAUUUUUUCAAGGCGAAUCCAUCUCGUUCUGCCAUAUCAAUCUUGUCAUCACUUGUACGUUUCCAAUCAAAACAUUGAACCAAUAAUGCCAAAGUCAUACUGAUUGCUCGAAGAGCCAAGGCUUCUCCAGGACACGCCCUUCUUCCCAUCCCAAAUGCAAUCAACUUCUCCAACUCUCCUUUUUUGUUAAACCUCUCGGGCUUGAAGGUUGUGGCCUCACUCCACGACUCAGGAUCCCUUUGAAUGCCCCAAGCAUUAAUUAGUACUAUGGUGUCUCGUGGUAUUUUAUAUCCUCCAAUAAUGCAAUCAUCUGAAGUUGAGUGUGGUAUUAAUAAAGGGGCUGGACCAUACAACCGAAGCGUCUCGUAGAUCACAUUUUUAAUGUAAGUCAGAUUUGGAAGGUCUGAUUCAUCUACCAAACGAUCUUGUCCUACAUGAGUAUCCAAUUCAUCCCUUACCUUCUUCAGUACCUCUGGAUGGUUCAACAAAUUUGACAUUGACCACUCUAAAGUUAAAGCAGUAGUGUCGGUUCCGGCAAGGAGCAUGGCCUGCAAAUUUAACCCAACUCGAUCAAUAAUUAAUCAUUAAUGAAUUAGAGCAGUAAUAUAUGUGAUUAAUAGUAAUUAUUAUGUAUAUACCAAAACAAGGCCUUUGAUGAUUUGGUCGGUGUAGUACUCAGGUUGUGAUUCUUGCAUACUUAGGAGAUGAUCUAUCAUGGUAUUUGUACGUUCCUUCUUGUUGCGUUGCUCUUGAAGAAGUCCACUCAAGAAUGCGUCAGUUUUUUCACCGAUAUUCUUGACCUUCUUCUCCAAGUUUUCAAAAUCAAGAAAUCUAAGCAAAGGCAGGAAAUCAGUUUUGUUGUUUGCACCGGACAAUUGCAACAGUUCAGUAACCAUAUCCCUGAAUUGACUUGCUUCUUGAAGAUCACUCAUGUCACAAUCUUCUCCGUAGUAUCUCUUUCCAGAGAUCAUUCGCAUGAUGUUGUUGAAGGUCAUAUCAUAAAACCUAAAACUAAGUUCUACUUCAGCAAAGUUAGAGGAUGAAUCCUCAGCCAAUUUCUUUAUUAGCCUUUGAGUCUCAUCCUUUCGGAUUCCAGAGAAAUUGUUGAUGCGGUGGUUUGAAAGGACGUCGAGGGAAGUGAUACGACGGAGGUUGCGCCAAUGUUCACCAUAGGAUGCAGAUCCUAAGGUAGUAUAAUUGUAGAAGAUAUAUUUUCCUGAGAUAAAUUUUGGUCUAUUUGCUAAGACAACGUCGUUUUUAGUGAAACAUUGUUGGAAUUCGGAUAGAGAAGAAACAACAACCACAAGACGUGAUCCAAACCAAAGAGAAAUGACAUCACCAUAUUUUUUAGUGAGUUCUUUGAAGGUGCGGUGGAGGGGGCGUUUGAGAUGGUGGAGAUUGCCAAUUAUGGGAAGAGAAGGUGGACCUGGUGGGAGGUUUUUGAAUCUUCUUGAUUGGAACAAAAGCCUAAUGAUGAAAAAUAUAGAAAGAUAAAAGAGCGAGUAGCACAACAAGGAAAAGAUCUCCAUGGUUGUGAAUAUGAAAUAAUGGGUUUUGCUUUGGUACUGAAAUGAGUGAGUCGCUCAAUUUAUGUUUGGUAAGAAUUUAUAGAGAGAGCAUUUAGAGUAUAUUGAAUGGUAAUCUCAACGUGGGUAUAUUAAGUAUGAUAGACUGUGCGACAGGAAUUCAUUUAUUUUUUUAUUCUAAAUGAAUUUAACGUAGGAUCAUUAAAUAAAGUCCACUAAUCAUUAUAAAUUUAUUAUUAUUAAUAAAUUAAUAAAAAAAUAUAACGAUUAUAAUUUUAUUAUUAUUAAAUUAUCAAAGUAUUUGACACAACACUGGCAUUAAAGUUUAGUAUAGUUAAAAUUGUGUCAUCACAAAAAAACAACACUUUUAUAAUUUAAUAAUAAUAAAAUAAUAACUAUUAAUUUUUUUUAAUAAGUUAUUAAUAAUAAUAAAUUUAUCACAAUUGAUGGACUUUGUUUAAUAAUAAUAAUCCAUAAGUAAAAAAUAGAUAAGUUGUUUCAGAAUGUCUUGACAUAGUGGAGGUCCCUGCUUAUCUUGGGGCUGCGGUAGAAAUUGGCCACAAAAAUCAAACCCACGUGUUCAGUGUUUCAUACUACGUCUACGGCUUCACAACUAUUGCUUGUAUUUGUCUUUGAAUUAUUAAUCAAUUAUUAUAAAAAUAUAAUUUCUGUACAAAAAAUUAUAUAGUUUUUUAUUAAAUAUAUUUAUUUUUAAAAAAAAUCAGAAAUCAUACUUUAAAAUUAAAUAUAAAAAUACUCUAUUUCUUACACUUAAUAUAAACAUUAUACAUAUUAACUAGUCUAUUUUUCAUAGUUGUUAACUAGUCUUACCAUCUACUUUUUUUAUCACUUAAAAAACAAUACUCAAUUAUUCAAUAUUUUUUUACCUUACUCAGUUAUUCAAAUUUGUACGAUGCACCAUAAAUCAUUAGGCGUUAAAACUAAAAAGAAAUAAAAUAAAAAUUUCACAACAUUUAUUUUAAUAAUAUAAAAUAAUAAAAUAUUUAUAAAUAUAAUAAAAUUAAAAUUUAUAAAAUAUCUAUAUCUUUGGAUAAAUUUAUUACAUAAAAAUUAUUGAUUGAAUUUGUAAUAAUCGAAUCCAAUAUAUCAAUCAAAACAUAACAAAUAUUAUAUCAAGACAAUAAACAAAAUAAUAUUACUCGAAUGAUGAAAUCAUAAAUAAUUUAUAUAAAAUAAAAUUUAUGUAGAAAUAACUUAUUCAAAUAAAAAAAGAUAAAAAAUAAUUUUGAGUUAGGAUCGAGACUAAAUAAUGGCCUUAAAAAAUCCCUAUAUGAGAGAUGUAGAAAAUAUGUAUUAUAUUGUGCUAUUUCGAGAAGUCAAUCUAUGAUAUGGGUUGGUUUUAAAAUCAACUUUUGUGUUGAGUAGAAGCAAAUAUAUUGCAUAGAUUUGCAAUUUAAACCUUCUAUUGAUAAAAUUUGAUAUUAUUAAAUUAAAUAUUAUAUUUUAGAUUUAAACUCGAUCUUAUAAUUGUAUAUGAAUUUAUUUGUCAUUUUACUAGACAAAAAAAAAUAUAUUCACCUAUUUAAUUAGUUCUUUAUAUUAAACAACAUCAAUUAAUUACGUCUUUUUUUUUCCUUUCAAAUUUAACAUAUUAUGUUAGUCUUAAUUCUUAACAAGAGACUAUUAAAAUAAAUAAGUUGGUCUCUUAUUGAUAUUUUUUUGUCUUAAAAUAUAACUAAAAAUUGGUCAAAGAAAAUUAAUGUAGAUGAUUUAAAAUUAGACUAAGUACAUUCACUUAUUUUGACUCAUUUUUGCUUAAGAUGAAGCAGUAAAAAUUAUUUUGAGAUAAUGAUUAAAUUGAUUGACGUUCUUAAGAUUAAUUAAUUAAGGGAUGAUAAUCAGAAAUAUAGUGAUUAGACAAAAGAUAAUAAUUAUUUUAUUAAAUUAGUCUUAUUAACUAUUAGUGUGUUUUGCACUAUUAUAAAAUAAAGUAUAAUUAAUAUUUUGAAUGUUGUAUAUAUAGUAGGAAUUGAAGAGUGCAAUUAAAAAAUAAUAAUAAAGUUGUCUUGAAAAUAAAAAAUGAUACUAUUUUGAUUUUUUAUUUUUACUAUAAUGUCAUUAAUGUUGAAACGGAAGAAGUAUAUUGGACCAAGUGCAACCAUAUAAAUAGAUUGAUUAUUACAUAUUCACUCAAAACUUUAAGAUAUUAGAUAUAUGUGUUCAUUGGCUUAUAUAGUAUUCCCCAUCCACUUUUCAAUCCAAUGUGAGACUUUUAUUCACAUUUGACACCAACAAUAAGUGGUGGAGCUUGACUAAAAAGUUUUGGAGUGAUCAACAUAAAAUUAUAAUGUAUAAAUCAAAUAUGCAAAUAAUAUUAUAUAGUAAAAAAAUUAAGUUGUAAUAAACACAAAGUAGAUUAUCAAAUAAUUUAAUCGCAUGACUUAAAAAUACAUUAAAGUAAUAUUUUAUGCUCUUUAAUUAACUUGAAAUCAUCAAUAAUAAACUCAUAACUGAUACUAGCAGCAAUUUUCCUUUCAAUAUAAAAUGUCAUGCUAUAUGUCAAAAAUGAUAUUUCAAUUGUGGCAAUAGAAACUAGAAAAGUCAUGAUAAGAUGAAGUAGUCUAUUAAUCAAGUAGAAAGAUUGUGUCUUUUCAGUUACAACCAAACAUAAGCACAAUUCUAGAAUAGUUGAUAAAUUCUUCAAAUUUAAAUCUUGGCGAGCAUCAACCAAGAAAUAUUGGAGUUGAAAUUUCAAAAUAAUAUUCUCUUGCAUUUGGAAAUCCAAAGAUAAUAUUUUUCAAAUAGAGUGCAAAUAUUUUCAAUGUUAAAAGCUUUACAAUUAUCUUUAGGAUCAAAACACAACUUAGAGUUAACAAAUCAAUUGUUUGCUCGCUAAAUAUGUUGUUCAACUCUUGUAAUUGUUGUUGUAAGGCUUGACAAAGCAUAUCAGUUAUCCUCAUAAUGUCUUUCAACAAAUGCAAGACAAAUAUAAAAUCAAACGCUUUCAAAUAAUUAUACGCACUAUCAACAUCCCCACGUGUAGAAUAACUUGCUCUUUCUUUUGUAUUUUUCUUAAAACAAUACAAGUUGCCUUAUACAUAUUUAUCAAGCUACAAAUAGAAGAAAAAUAUGAUCCCAACGAGUAUCCCCAACUUGUUUCAAAGUACCAAUUUGAUUUGCACUUUUACCAGUUACAAUCUCAUCAAUUUCUAGCAAAUGUGAAAUUUCCUCUAAAUGAGCAACUUGCAACUCAUCAUGACGGUUAGUAAGAGAAAAAAUAACAUUGACAACAAAAGUCAUCUUCUCAAAGAAUUUAUCAAUUGGAACAUCUUCUAUUGAUGCAGUAACAAAGACAAGUUGCAAUCGAUGAGCAAAACAAUGGACAUAGUAUGCAUAACGAUAAUCCUUCACAAAUAGUGCUUGUAAACCGCUUUAUUCUCCUUUCAUAUUACUAUCAUGAUCAUACUCUUAACCACGGAUGUUAGAAACAUCAAAGUUAUGCCGAGAAAGUAUAUCACAUACUUCUUUUUUAAAAGUUAAAGUUGUAAUAUUUUUAACAUGUGCCACAACAACAAAACUGCUCUGGUAUUAAACCAACUUUAUCAGCAAUCCUAACACUAGAGAAAUUUUUCCGUUUUCUAAUUCAUCACAAGCUUCAUCGACAAUAAUGAAAAAUUUGAAAUCACCAAUUUCUUCACAGAUACGUUUUCUCACACUACUAGAAAGAAUAUGCAAACACUAUUUUUGAAUUUGAAGUGAAGUAUACUUGUAAUUAUAUGGAGCAUUUUCCAACAUAACUUUUGCAACUUCAUCAUUGUAAGAUGGCAAGAGUUUUAUCAAUUGAAGAAAUUUUCCAUGGUUUCUUGACCCGCUAGUUUCACCAUGUCCCCUAAAAGCACAAGCCUGAAGUGUUAACCAACAAACAAUGUCAAUUGAUGCCUUGAGACGUAUUUGAUUCUUCAAAAAAAAUUCUUAUCUUUUCACUUGAAAAUCAUUCAUAAUAUGUCCAUCUUGAUUCAACAGGUCUAAACAAGCCUUCAUUGUAUUUUUGUGUGGUAAGCAAGGAUCCACCCAUAUGUGUUUGAGAAAGGCGAAAUGUUUUCCAUUUUUGACUUUCUUCCGACCUCUAUAACCUGUGCCAAUGAAGAUAUAUGACAUGAGACGUCCACUUGAUCUUUUGCUAAAUAGAUAACAUGAUAAACAAUAUGCAACAUAUUUAGAAGGUGAAUAUUCUAGCCAUGAAGGAAAUAUGUUAAACCAAGCAUAUUGAUGUUGAGGUAAGUGAUUAUGUUUUAUAAAUGGUAAUCUAUUAAUGAUUGCACUUGAGUUUUAUUUUACGAACAUGAAUUGCAUAAGUGGACAAGCAAGAAGCCAUUCACAUAAUCAAGUGCAUGAAGAAAGUAUCUCAGUAGUACUUGAUGGACAAGACACAACAUGUGAAACACUGAGAAAAAUUUUAGGAAGGUGCUUCAACAAAAAAUUUAUCAUCUCAUAUAGAAGACGACAUUCUCAAUUGUUAUGAAAUAAUAUUCUCAUGAUGAACAAGCUCAUUGCACUCAUAAAUAUUCAUUCCAAUUCAGCAAAAUGCUAAGAAUCAACUUUGAAAAAUAAAUCAUUUCAAGAUUGAGUCAUUUAUUAAAUCAUUUGUUAAAAGGAUGAUGGCAGAACAGAACAUUCACUAAAAUGUUCUGGUUGUUCUAUUAAAUAACAAUUGACAAUAAAUAUCUUUUUGAAAGGGAAACAUGCAAUAAAUUAGUUGACAUUUUGCACAUGAGAUUUCCAAUAUUUAAUGAGAAAUCAAAAGUCAAGAUUUGAAAACCUACUCGCAAAAACAAACAUGCAGAAUGCUCGAUUGAACUGCAUAAUGACACCCAAAUUGAUCUUCAGAUUUAUGAGUUGUGAGUGAAGACAAUAAGGACAUGGGUACACUGUUGUUUCACUUUUUGUAGAGAGCUCAAUAUUCUUAUGAGACAAAGAAAUGACAUUUCACAUUCAUUCAAUCACUCAUCCAAGUUUUCCAUACAACGUAGAACCAAGAACGUUCUAGUUUAAUAAAAGAAUAGUAUGGUUAAAGAGUAUGAAGACUACCGAAAUCAACAAUCAAGCCCGAAACUCAAGUUAAAGGCCCAAAGAACCAAAACAACCUACUUAUGGAUUACCAAAUUAAUCAGUUUUGAGUAAGGACCCAAGUACAUUGUACUUACAUUAUUAUGCAGAAAACUCUGCAUAAUUCUGAUUUGAAAUAGUCCCAAUGGUCAUAUGGCAGACCACCCAACAUUAUGUAUUUUUUCUCCAACAAGGCAAGAACGUUAUGGACAGAUCAAGAACGUUCUUGACAAAAUUACAAUACGCUUAAAGAGAUUAAUUCAGAAGAUUAUUUUCACAUUGAAAAGUGUGUCCAGUGACUAUAUUCAAUUUAAAUUGAAUAUUCAAAGUAUCUUAUCAUCUAUAUAUUGAAGAUCAAUUUGAAGAUUAAGUCAAUAGCUCAAUUUGCAAAUCUACCAACAAAUGUUCAAGUAAGAGCUAGUCAAAAAACUCUUCAAGCAAACUCCAACUCUCUUCACUGUAUAUGUGAAUUAUCAUUUACUUAGUUUGUCUUUAUUUAUCUCAAACAAGUGUUGAGAAUUUCUUAGAUCCCAAACACUUUUAUCAAGCACAACAUUUGUAAGUUAAGUCUAUUUUUUAUGUUAGAUUGAGUGUGUUUGUAAAAAUAAUUUCUAUAUUUGAAAGGUGACUGUGAAAAUCCUUUCACUAUUGAAACAUGACUGAAAAAUCCCCAUAAGUUGAAAGGUCAAGAUUAUAAUUAAUCAAGGUGUGAUCAAGAGAAAAAUUGUGAAGGAGAACAUUAUGGUUUUGAAGCACAUAUUGAAAAUCUUGCGAUUGUUAGGACUGAACUAUCCCGAGUUGGGUGAACCAGUAUACUUUUUAUGUGUGAUUUUUCUAUCUCUUAUUUUUAAUUAUUUGCACGCCUAAAUCACACUUCACUUCUAACAUACCCAAAACAUUCUGAAUAUUCUAUUUCAACCAAGAUUGAUCUUAGGUUAAUUUAAAUUAAGCACAUAAAUAAAAAAUUUAAAAGGGUCACAAUUCAAACAAUUUCUUGUGAUUGACAUUGCUACUUCAAUUUAUUUGAUAAGGACCACACUUUAGAUAAAUUCUUCAUAUUGAAACCAAUUGAUUUGGUGGAUAUAGCCAAAUUUGAGGGUGUUUUCCGAGAUCACAUUCUGAACAAUUUUCAAAGUCAUCUUCAAAAUAUCUAGGAACCUUGAAAAAAUGAUUCUCAUUUUCUUCAAUUCUUAGAUUCUCAUAAAUAGUUUCAGAUGCAAAAGUUAUAAUUUUUUCAUCUCUUUCACUACAAAUUUUUCUCUUGAUAAAAGAAUCAAUUCUUUUACUCAUCUUCAUUCUCACAAACUUCACUAAUAUAAAAAAAAUUUAAAUAAAUCGACAAGCAUAAAUAAAAAUAAUAUGCACAACAGAGUCAAUAAGCAAAAAUUAUCAAACUCAAAGAGACAUAGUCAAUAAGUCACUCAUCAUUUUAUCUUUGUAAUUUUGUAAACUCGCCCAAAUUUCAAACUCACUCCAAUAGUCCAAUUCAUAUAAUCACAAUCACUCUCUCACAUAGUCACAAAUCAGAUAUUAAGAAUGAUGCAAAAACAUAAUCAGACUCAAAUUCAAUUUAUUAUCAAUUGAAACAAGAUACCAAACUCAAAGAUAUUAUCAAAAUUAGGAGAUUGAGACAUGCAAUCAAAUCAAACUCAACGAGUCAAUGAGUGACUCACAUCAAUGGGCAGUGGGCAGUGGGGCACUAAGCAAACGGUAGUGGUGGAAAUCGCUUUACGCGUGCGAGGGCCGAUUGAGGAGGGAGAUGGAGUGAGGGCUGAGAAGCAGAGACGGCAUCGCGAAUGAGACAACGAGAACAGAAGCAUUGCACAAUUCACGAAGCUUACAAGUUAUGAAGGAGCGAGACAGCAUGCCACGAGCCGGUCGACGACGAUUCUUGAAAUUGUCAAGAGAAUGAGAGAGAUUUGAGAAGAUACAAAUUUUAGAAUUUUAGGUAUAUAUGUUACUUUCUAAUGUCAAUGAAGGUAUUUUGAUCAUUUUAUCUAUAUUUUUUUUUUGUUGCAUGCGGUCGUCUGCCAUAACUAAGUUGUGCCUUUGCCAACAAUUUAUUCCUCAAAUGUGACCCUAUUCAUUUUAUCUAGGUAUGCUUCCUCUUGAAUUGGAAGAUUUUUCAUCCAUAUAUAGUACACUUAAUUUACACCAUUGUUGGCACAACAUCAAUGAAAUAUUUAGUUUGUCCAUUAUUAUUAGAAAGACUUUCAAUACAAUAAAUCAUUUGAAUCAAAACAUCAACUCUGAUACCAUUAUUAAAAUAUAAGAUUGAAUUUUUCCUCACAUUUAACACAAACAUACUCUAUAAGACACUCAUACUGGUUAUGUGUUUGUGCUAGGCUACAACGCUAAAGUAGUAUUGUUGUGUAAGUAGGAAUGAUGUCAAUUAUAUCUCGUAGAAAUAGUUCGCUUAAACUAUAUAAUUUGACAUUUGGGUAUUAAUUGACAUAUUAUAAUUGUUUAGUCCAUCUUUUGAAUAAAUAAUUGUGUGAGACAUUUACAACCUUUCAUAAAAAGUGAAUAGUUUUUUUAAUGUGUUGAGAUAUAUAUCAUUGUUAUAUUUUUUAUUUUUUUUAUUCAGAAAACGAUUAAUUAUAGUUUUAAUUUUUCUAUUUUUAUCAUUCAUAAAAUUGAUUUAUCUUAAAAUUUAAUAGUUUUAAUAAUUUAUUAUAAUUUUUAAUAAAAAAAUUAAUAAUAUUAUAUAUUUUAAAUAAUAUAAUAUAUAAUAUAAUAUUAAAAAAUAUAAAAAUUAUUAACUUUUAAAAUAAAAUAUUAAUCAGUAAAAAUAGAAAAAUUAAAUUUUAUAAAAAUGUCAUAUAUGAAUCUCGCAUAUAUGAUUGCGCCGCUAAUUUCAAAGUUUAUCAUCAUGCUGAUAUACUUCAAGCUGUCAACACUAUAGUUUAUUUUGGAAAAAAAAAAUAUUAUAUUUUGACCCAUGUAGAGAGAAGGUAUGCAUCAUGCACGCUAAGUAUUACAAAACAAAAUUGUUAUUUUUAAAAGUUAAACAUUUAUAUAUUAAGAGGAAUGUGUUUUGAUAUUAGGGAUACGUUUAUAAGAAAGGUAAUAAUAAUGUGUGAUAAUAUUUAAUAUUUGUAAAUUAUAACUAUCUAUUUAAUAUUUGUAAAUUAUAAAUCAUUCGUAUUAACUAACACUAUUCAUGUACUAAUUAAAGAGCGUCACACUUAUCGGCAAUAUAUUCUUCUGAGUGAUAAAAUGCCUCAGACUUUAAACAAAUGUUUCGAGAUUUAAUUUGACUAUUGUGUAUUAAAAAAAAUGCACAUCAUGCAUAUUGAUAAAUAAGUUAAACAUAUUGUUGUCCACCCAAAGAAGAAGAAGGAGGAGGGGGGAAAUCGACAACAAUCCCCGACUUUUAUCUAAUUUAAUUUAAAAAUUAUGAAUAGUCAAUGGAAUUAAUUUAUUUGACAUCACAUUAGUAUAAUUCAAAUGCGUCCACAUCAAUUUUUGGUUCCAUCAAUUGAAUUUUCGUGUUACAACUCAUUAUUGAAUUUUUUAUUUAACUAAAUUAUUGAGUUGUUUUAGCCAGAAAUUGUUUACCGUAGCUUUUUUUCCGGUGAGUCUGCAUCAACUGUCAAGUCAGUUUUAUAAUUCAAUCUUCUAACUUAUCAGUUUUUCUCGAUAUAGAUUGUGAAACAACUUAAUUAAUUUGAUAUGAUUUUUAGGAAAAUAUUGUUGGAAAAACCCUAAUAACGUUAUGCUCAACAAUCCAUGUCAAUUACAUGAUGAAUAGCCAAAGGCGGAAGCGUACCUGUGGGAAUUGUCAUUAAUGACAUCCUGAGAUGAUGAUGAUAGAGCCAAUGGGUUGGGUGAUCUUCCUCAGCAAAACACCCUAAAGACCUUGCUCUCUUGAUGGGGAUAGAGAGAACCAGAGAGUUUUCUCCUUUAGGGUUUUGAAACUGAAUAGUCUUGUUGUGUUUGCCUUGGGGACCAUUACCCCUAUAUAUAACUAUUAUUAGUUAUAUCCCAAAUUGCAGUAUUUCCAAUUCAGCCCCUCAUUAAAUUAGAAACUGUCCGGUAUCUACACUAUUAAUUUUCAUAACUAUUAUGCUCUUUAGCCAUAAACUAUUAUAUAUUAUUUGACCCCUAGUUUAUUGGCUAAUCAUAUAAUGACCCUAACACACUUUAUUAAUUAAUUACAUAUGUGACCCAUAAAUCUUACAAUCUCCCACUGGUCACACAUGUAUCCUUAGGAGUGUGUUAGACUUUAUGACGUCAAAAAUGUCAUUAUAAUUACCUUGAGUAUAAUCCAAAUUGUCCCGUCCAUUAAUCAUAUCAGCACAUGGAACCAAAGAGGCUUUCGUCAUAAUAAGCAUAACUAAACCCAUCAAUGAUCACCCGUACUGACACAACUAAAUGACAUAGACCCAUUAUGAAAAGUGUAGCAUGAAAAUUACAUGAAGUUGGUCAAUGCAUGUCAAUUUUCAACUGGUCCUACUUUAUCGAAUGAGAUCAUACCAUAACUUAAAUGUACAAAGUAACCAAAAACUGAAUACUUUAAACUUUAUUUCUGAUCAGAAAGUCCAAAUACAAUGUAUUUGUACUUUACAAUUAAACAUAGAACAUGAAUUACAUAAUGGACGAAACUCCCACUAAAAUCAAGAUUCCUCAAACUGUAGCACACCCAUGUGAGCAGUAUGCUCAUGAAAGACCUUGGGUGGUAGACCUUUAGUGAGUGGAUCCGCAAUCAUGGAGUUUGUCCUUAAGUGUUCUAUGGAUAUCUGUCCACUUUGUACCUUCUCUUUAACAACUAGGAACUUAAUGUCAAUGUGCUUUGACUUGGUUGAGCUCCUAUUAUUGUUAGAAUACAGGACUGCUGAUCUAUUGUCACAAUACAACUUGAGUGGUCUUUCAAUCCCUUCAACUAUUUGCAGCCCCGUGACAAAAUUUCUCAGCCAAAUGCCCUGGUCAGAUGCCUCAUGAAUUGCUACGAAUUCUGCUGCCAUGGUUGAUGAAGCAGUAAGACCUUGCUUGGCACUACGCCAAGAAACUGCUCCACCAGCUAACAGAAAGACAUAGCCUGAAGUUGAUCUUAAGCUGUCUUGGCAUCCCGCAAAAUCCGAGUCAGAGUACCCAGUGAUCUCUAACUGGUCUGACCUCCUAUAUGUGAGCAUGUAGUUUCUUGUUCUCUUCAAAUAUCUCAUGACCCUCUUGGCUGCUUUCCAAUGGUCAAGACCUGGAUUGCUUAAAUAUCUGCCUAAAAUCCCUACUAUGAACGCUAUGUCUGGACGCGUACAUACUUGGGCAUACAUAAGACUCCCUACAGCUGAAGCAUAAGGGAUCUUUUGCAUUUCUUGAAUUUCCAAACUUCCCUUAGGGCACUGUUUGAGACUAAACUUGUCUCCCUUAGCAACUGGGGUGUCCCCUGGUUUGCAAUCCUGUAACCCAAACCUUUUGAGAACCUUAUCGAUAUAGCUCUUUUGUGACAAUCCAAGAAUACCUCGAGAUCUGUCUCGGUGUAUCUGAAUUCCUAAUACAAAAGAGGCGUCACCAAGAUCUUUCAUCUCAAAAUGCUUUGAUAGAAAUUUCUUAGUUUCGUGCAACAUGCCUAUAUCGUUAGUGGCAAGCAGUAUGUCAUCAACAUACAAGACCAGGAAAAUAUGUCUGCUCCCACUGAACUUAUGAUACACACAAUCAUCAACUGUAUUCAUCUCAAAACCAAAUGAGAGAAUUACUUGAUGAAAUUUAUGGUACCAUUGACGAGAAGCUUGUUUUAGCCCAUAAAUGGAUUUUCUUAGUUUGCACACCAUAUUCUUUGGGUCUCCCAACACAAAGUUUUCUGGCUGCACCAUAUAGAUCGUCUCAUCAAUGUCGCCAUUGAGAAAAGCUGUUUUUACAUCCAUUUGAUGAAGCUCCAAAUUAAAGUGAGCAACAAGAGCCAUGAUUAUUCUUAAAGAGUCCUUCGAUGAAACCGGAGAGAAAGUCUCUUUAUAAUCAAUCCCUUCCUUUUGAGUAUAACCCUUAGCUACAAGACGUGCCUUAUAUCUCUCCACAUUACCAUUGGAAUCCCGCUUGGUUUUAAAAAUCCAUUUGCAACCAAUGGGUUUCUUUCCUUCAGGUAAUGGGAUAAGUUCCCAAACUGAAUUGUCUUGCAUAGACUUGUACUCCUCAUUCAUUGCUUCGAUCCACUUAUCUGAACGAGAAUCUUGCAUGGCUUGAUGAAAGUUGACUGGGUCGUCUUCCGUCAUGCCAACAUUUUCCUCUACCUCAUUGAUAAAUACUACAUAAUCAUCCGAAAUAGCAUUUUUCCUUUCUCUAGUGGAUCUCCGCAAUGGAGCUGGCUCUUGAGGCACUUGUUCUUGAGGAUCUUGAAUUUGAUCUGGAUUUUGUUCUUCCUGAACAACCAGAUCAUCUUGAGUUUGUUCAAUAAUGGGAAAGUCAAUUGGUGGAAGAAUCAGUUCUGGAAUUGUUACCGAUUCUUCCUCAAAGACAAAAUCUUUAACCUUAAUCUUCCCCCCAAACUCAAUAUCCUCAAAGAACGUUGCCGUUCCCGUCUCAAAAAUUGUUCUCAAAUUAGGAUCAUAAAAUUUAUAGCCCCUUGAUUUUUCUGAGUACCCUAUAAAAUAGCUGCUAAUUGUUCGGGGUUCAAAUUUCUUUUCAUUCGGCCUAUAAGGCCUUGCCUCAGCUGGACAUCCCCAAACAUGAAGGUGCUUCAGACUAGGCUUACGCCCAAUCCAAAGCUCAUAAGGUGUUUUAGCCGCUGCCUUAGUUGGUACUCUAUUAAGAAUGUAUGCUGCUGUUUUUAAUGCCUCUCCCCAGAGUGACUCUGGCAAGGUGGAAUGACAAAUCAUACUCCUUACCAUAUCCUUAAGAGUCCUGUUUCGUCUUUCAGCUACACCAUUCAUGCUGGGUGACCCCGGCAUAGUGUAUUGUGGGACGAUUCCACAUUCCUCUAGGUAUUUGGCAAAUGGUCCCGGACGUUGUUCACCUGAACCGUCAUAUCUGCCGUAGUAUUCACCACCACGAUCAGAUUUGACCUUUUUAAUUCUUUUAUUAAGUUGAUUCUCAACUUCUGCCUUAAAGGAUUUGAACACGUCUAUUGAUUGGGACUUUUCGUGAAUUAGGUAAAGGUAGGCAUAUCUAGAAUAAUCGUCUAUGAAUGAUAUAAAAUAUUGUUGACCAUUCCAAGAAGGAGUUGGAAAUGGCCCACAGAUGUCCGUAUGUAUCAAUUCUAAGACGUCUGUAGCUCUAUAUGCGCCUAAUUUCUUAUCUUUAGUCUGUUUUCCUUUAAUGCAUGCUACACAAACGUUAAAGUCUGUGAAGUCAAUGGAAUCUAAAAUUCCAUCUGACACAAGUCGUUCAACUCUAUUUUUAGAGAUGUGACCUAGACGCUUGUGCCAAAGCACCCCUGAAUUGAAAUUGUCAAUUUUCCGCUUAGUACCACGUGAUUCCACAUUCAAGGUUUCAUUAUAGUUAGCCACAGUUUCCAACAAAUAAAGAUUAUCAUAACCAGAAAGUAAACCGGUUCCAACAACAUUCGAAUUUAAAGACAAAGUAAAUUCUUUAUUCCCGAAUGAACAAUAAUAUCCUGAUUUGUCCAAAUAAGAAAUAGAGAUCAAAUUCCGUCUAAAUGACGGUACAACAAAAGUGUCUUUUAAAUCCAAAUAAUGACCGGAACUUAAUAAUAAUCUAAAUUUUCCUAUGGCUUCAACUUCUACCUUCUUCCCAUCUCCUACAUAGAUCCAUCUUUCAGUAUCACUAGGCUUUCGGAAGUUCAGGCAACCCUGCAUUGAAACACUGAUGUUAGUAGUUGCACCAGAGUCUAACCACCAAGUGUUUCUAGGUACUGAAGCUAAAUUAACCUCAGAACAGACCAAAGACAGAAUCAUACCUUUCUUAACACGCCAAGCGUGAUAUUUGGCACAAUCCUUCUUCACGUGUCCAGAACUCCUGCAGAAGAAGCAGUUGUUAUCCUUAGUCUGCUUCUUUUGUUCUGGACCCUUAGCAGCAGCUUUGUUCUUGGGCUCCUCAAUUCUUUUCCUUUUGCCCUUGUCUUUAGAGAUGCUAGUAAAGUGAGCACUUUCAGUCCUAUCUUGCUUCAGCCUGUCCUCUUCUUGCACACAUAAUGAAAUGAGCUCAUUAAGAGUCCAUUUCUCCUUUUGACAAUUAUAAGUCACCUUAAACUGACUGAAUUGCGAAGGAAGAGACAGCAAUACUAAAUGAAUGAGUAAGUCAUCUGACAACUCAAGCUUUAGACCUUUAAGCUUAGAAGCAAUGUUGGACAUCAUCAUAAUGUGCUCUCUUAUAUUUCCCUUGCCUUGAUACUUCAUGGAAAUUAAAUUCUGAAGCAAAGAACUUGUUUCAGCCUUAUCACUUUUUACAAAGCGUUUUUCCAUCUCAACAANNNNNNNNNNNNNNNNNNNNNNNNNNNNNNNNNNNNNNNNNNNNNNNNNNNNNNNNNNNNNNNNNNNNNNNNNNNNNNNNNNNNNNNNNNNNNNNNNNNNNNNNNNNNNNNNNNNNNNNNNNNNNNNNNNNNNNNNNNNNNNNNNNNNNNNNNNNNNNNNNNNNNNNNNNNNNNNNNNNNNNNNNNNNNNNNNNNNNNNNNNNNNNNNNNNNNNNNNNNNNNNNNNNNNNNNNNNNNNNNNNNNNNNNNNNNNNNNNNNNNNNNNNNNNNNNNNNNNNNNNNNNNNNNNNNNNNNNNNNNNNNNNNNNNNNNNNNNNNNNNNNNNNNNNNNNNNNNNNNNNNNNNNNNNNNNNNNNNNNNNNNNNNNNNNNNNNNNNNNNNNNNNNNNNNNNNNNNNNNNNNNNNNNNNNNNNNNNNNNNNNNNNNNNNNNNNNNNNNNNNNNNNNNNNNNNNNNNNNNNNNNNNNNNNNNNNNNNNNNNNNNNNNNNNNNNNNNNNNNNNNNNNNNNNNNNNNNNNNNNNNNNNNNNNNNNNNNNNNNNNNNNNNNNNNNNNUCAGGAAUGUCACGCUUUAUGAUCAUAAGACUUAUGCGAUUUGAGCGAUCCCAUUUCUCAUACUCUAAUUUUUCUUCAGAAGAACUAGAGUCCUUAGGAGUAGAGGGUCGAUCAAUUCUUAAUGCAAGGUCUAGAUCCAUGCAGCCAAGAACAAUCAAAAUGUUCUCUUUCCAUUCCUUAAAAUUUGUCCCAUCAAGGACAGGAAUAGAACUCAAAUUUGCAGAUAUGGAAGCAACCGAUGCUGUAAAUUAAAUAAAGAACGAAACUUAGAAACUCACAUUAUAGGAAAAUAAAUCAGUAAAUAAAUAAAUACAUAUGUUCAAAUCAUGGAAUUUAACCCAUCUCAAGAUACCCAGUGCACCAUUGAUGUCAAGUCUUUGGACAGUAACACCAACUGCUAGUGGUACUCUUGUUGCAACGAUCAAAUAUUGACAAUAAGACAUGUCAAACAAUAAACCUUCCUUUGGGCCGAUUUACUGCUCACAUGUAUACCAAAUAAUUGUCACACAUUUAUCAUCGCAGGUGUACCAUGUAAUUCUGCCAAAUAUUAACCUUCCUUUGGGCCGGCCAAUACUCGCAUGAAUAAACAUAUACACAGCCAUUUGACAUUCUUCACGAGCAAUUUAGACAAGAGAGGUCACUUUGGCGACGUCAAGUUUCAAUUAACUCAUUCAAAAAUGUCAAACUUGACUUGAACAUAUAUUUAUUAUCUCCAAAUAAAACAAUAUUUAUAAAUAAAUAAAAAUUUAUAUCCAAAUAAAACAAUAUUAAAAAAAUAAAAAAUUAUUUUUCACUAAUAUAAACUUUAUUUCAUUAGUAUUCGAUAAUUAUUGUUUUAUCAAAAAAAAAAAAAAUUGGAUGAGAAGCUAAUUAAUUUAGCCAUGAAAUUUAAAAUAACAAACACGUUAAAAAUUGUACUGAAGAACAUUUUGCAAUGUUAGUACUCAAAUAUAUAUAUCAAAAUUCCCAAAUUACAAACCCUAAUUUUUCAAACACGUUAAAAAAUAUGGAUUCCAUAAUAUAUAUAUCAAAAUUCUCAAAUUACAAAUUACAAACCCUAAUUUUUCAAACAUGUCAAAAUUCCCAAAUUGAAUCCUAAACAAAGACAAUAACCGAAUUUCAUCAUGAAUUAAACAUGGUAGGCUCUGAUACCAAUCGUUGGAAAAACCCUAAUAACGUUAUGCUCAACAAUCCAUGUCAAUUACAUGAUGAAUAGCCAAAGGCGGAAGCGUACCUGUGGAAAUUGCCAUUAAUGACAUCCUGAGAUGAUGAUGAUAGAGCCAAUGGGUUGGGUGAUCUUCCUCAGCAAAACAUCCUGAAGACCUUGCUCUCUUGAUGGGGAUAGAGAGAACCAGAGAGUUUUCUCCUUUAGGGUUUUGAAACUGAAUAGUCUUGUUGUGUUUGCCUUGGGGACCAUUACCCCUAUAUAUAACUAUUAUUAGUUAUAUCCCAAAUUGCAGUAUUUCCAAUUCAGCCCCUCAUUAAAUUAGAAACUGCCCGGUAUCUACACUAUUAAUUUUCAUAACUAUUAUGCUCUUUAGCCAUAAACUAUUAUAUAUUAUUUGACCCCUAGUUUAUUGGCUAAUCAUAUAAUGACCCUAACACACUUUAUUAAUUAAUUACAUAUGUGACCCAUAAAUCUUACAAAUAUAUUUUUCUCAUAUGAAUUAAGUCUACACAUGUAUGAGUAUGUAUAUAGUAACUUCUAUAAAAAAAAUUCUCUCAAAUAUAAACAAUAAAAAAUUCAUUUUUUACAUUUUUAAAUAUGAACAAAAUUUGAUUAAUUUUACUACAUUAAUUUUACAUACUCUUUAAUUAAUAUAAAUUUUAAUUUUUAAAUAAUUCAUAGAACAAAUUUCGAUAAAUUCAAUAAUUCAAUAAUUUUUUAAGUAUUAAUUUGAAAGAAAAAAAAUAUAUGAACUCAACAAUUUCUUUUAACAAUAUAUGAUUUUUUUAUUUUUUAUUUUGUCUAAAUAAAACAAUAACAAAAAAUUGUUAAUUAAAUUAGACUUUGCGGAUAUAAGAUCAUACAUGAUACCAAAUCAGUAAAUUGAAUUCAGCCGCCAAUAGAGAACAUAUUGUUUGAAUUAUUUUCGACUGAUCACUUAUGUUGAUUAUCACUCUUGCAGUCACGUUGGACUGAUCUUGUAAAUUCCACCACUAUUUUCUCUUAAAGUAAAAUUUGACUUUAGUCACAGAUAUCUUCAUUUGUUUGUGGAAACCGGAAACCAAAAAGAGAACUUACUGUAGAAAAUGGGGACAAAAACUAAAUAAUUGAAAUGGAGCGGAUAAUAAAUUUUAGGUAAAGGUGAAUUAUUUUGACUAAAAUAAUUUUUUACUAUAUUUUAAUAACUUUUUACCAUAUUUACUUACUAGCUAAACUUUAAAUUAUUAAAAACUCAUUUUUGUAUGAAUCAGAGAAUUAAAAAUAAAAAUUAAUUGGAUAGCAAAGACAAGACGACGCUCCCACCAAACCGCCAUUGUCCCAAGUCUCACAGUAUGCAACUUAGUCAAAUAUGGUACACUCUCUUCUUCCAAACUAAAAAGAAAGAUCAAGAUUCAAGACGUUGAAUUUUUUAUUUGUUUUUUGACAAAACAAGAAUUUGCAUAUUUGUACCACUAUUUUUUUCUUAAAAAAUAAAAUAAAUAUGAUAUAAUUGUGUAUUUUGAAUUUAAAUCAGAGAUAUAAAUUCAAUUUAACAAUAUCAACAUUUAUCAGUUAAAUUAAAACUUAAAGAUUUAGCCUCUAGUUUUUUACAAGUCUUAAUAAAAGACUAAAUAUAUAAAUAAAAAAAUAUUCACAAUAAAAAAACUAAGCUUACGUAAGUCUGUAGUCUUAUAAAUUUUUGAAAUUUUGUUUUAGUUCCAGUAAAAACAAUCAUAUUUUUUAGUCUUAAAAAUUAUUCUAAAAGUUAUUUUAGUCUUUACUAGAAUAAAACAUCAUUUAAGUGUUUUUUAAUAGAAUAAAAUAUCAUAUUUUGCAAACAUGUUUAAAAUAUUAUUAGAAGUUUAUUCACACAAAUUUAUAAUUUUUUAAAUUUGAAAUUAAUUAAAUAUGAUGUAGAAAUAUUUUAUAUAAUCAUCAGAUUAAUUUUAAAUUGUGAAUUUUAAAUAAUAUAUUUAAUCUCUUCAUAGUACCCAUAAACAAAUAUAUCUUAUAAAGGAUUUAAAACUUGUAAAAUUUAAAGUGAAAAAAUCAAGUGCCAUUAUUUUGAUAAACUCAUAAUUGGUUAUAACGUAUCUACAAUAUUUAUUUUUGAUUUGUUAUUUAAAUUUUGAUUUCAUUCAUUUUAUUAAAAUGAGAUAUCCACUUUAAAAGGGUCAGAUCCAUCUAUAAAUAUUCGAUCAUACAAUAGAGACUACUGUUUAAUUUAAAUGAAAUAAAACUUAGAAAAAUAUAAUUUUGUACCUCUUAUUCAUAUUGUUCUAGAUUGAAAUCAAAUCCAAUAAUUAUAAAAAACAAUCAACAAUUAUCAAAUUAAGGCACCUGACUCGUCCAACCCAUCUAAAGAAAAGAAAAACAAACUCUUGUUUUAGUUGCAUUAACUCUAAGAACAACAUUCUUUUCACAAUGGUAUUUAAAAAUUACUGGUUCAAAGUUUUCCCAAUAAAAGAAGAAUAAGUGCUUUUUAAUUUCUUCAUUUUUUAGGAUUUAAAAACCAUAAAAUAAGAAGAAGAAUGAAUUAUAUAAAUUAAAAUUCUUUGAAGAAAAAAUAUGAAACUAUGUUAAUCUGAGCAGCAUUUGUGAUCUUCUAUAUGCUUUAAACUUAUGAUACUGAUAAAGCAUAGUAGAUCUGAUUAACAUGACACUGACUACGGAAGAACAAUGGUGGUGCUGCGACGGGAAUGUGGCGGCCCGGUGGGGCAGCGCAGACACAUGGAUGGAAGGGGGUUUACACUUCACGGUGUAGGGAUUGUAAUCGUACGUGAAUUUGUGUUUCAGUUUGUGAUUAUGUAUGAUUUAAACCUUUUCUAAAAUAAUUAUAUAAGUAUUCGACACGUUGCAUGAUCAAGAGCAUUAGAUUUAUCAGACCAACGAAACUGCUCAAAAUGUAUGGUGUAGUUCAUGUCUUAAAGGUAGACAAUCUUGAUCCGAAUCGAAAGUAGUGGGGAAGAGGUUGCACAAAUAUAAACAAGAAUACAUCAAAGCUAUGAAGAGAUCAAUAACUUUUUCUGCUUCUAAUUUUUGUUACUUUUUAAUUUUGUUUUUAUUUUUUAGCUGCAUAAAUGUAAUUGGGCCCUUGUGUAAAUGUAAGCUCAAAUAAUGGCCUAAAUGAAGUAUUUCAUUUUGAAGUUUUUUUCUUUCUUUUUUUUUUGUUUGUUGAUUUUUUGUUGAGUUUUUGGGCUAAAUUCUUUUGUACCAAAAAACUCUUUAAAAAGUUUUCUCGUAGACACCUCUUUUUUUAAAUAAAAAAAAUUAUUUUUAAAUUAUUUAUAUAAAUUUUAACACAUGAAUAAACUUUUGUUAUUAUGUGAUAAAACACACAUCGAUACUACCAACACUUUGAACACAUAUCAGAUUUGAAUAAUUAUAAUUAAUAUUGUAAAAGUAUUUUAUUGUGAUUAAUUAUUAUAACUUGUUUUAUAUUUUACUUCGGAUAUUUGAUACACGAGAAAUUGUUGUGAAUUGGGCUAGGGAGACUGGUAUCAAAAACAAAGUAACGUUUAUCAUCACUAGAUUAGAUAAAGAGACAUGAGAGAGAGAGAGAGAGAGGGAGGAAAAAUGAAUAAAUUAAUAUUAGUUUAUGACAAAGGAGGAAAAUACAAACGUUUUAAUAGUUUAACUUGAAAUUCAACAAAAAAGUGUGGUUGUUCUUUCAAGCUUAUAUCAAAACGUUAACAGAUGGUUUAUGAUUGACACUUAAAGUAAUUUGUGAAGUACACAACCAUUGAUUACUUAAUAUUUUGGAGGGACGUACAUUUGUUGGACGUUUAGAUGAAGAAGAGAGAAAAUAUGUUCAUGACUUAACAAAAUAUAAUAUUGCACCGAUUCACAUAUUACUCUCAUUGCAAGACCGAGACAAGAACAAUGUUACUCGGAUCUCACAAAUAUAUAAGUAGAGGAGUAUGAUUCGAUUGCAUGUAAAAGGUCCUAGAACUAAGAUGCAACAUUUGUUCAAGUUAAUUGAAUAUACAAAAUAUGUAUGUUGUAAUAGAAAUCAAGAAGACUUAGAUGUUAUCAAAAAUAUUUUUUGAACUCAUUCACAUUCAAUGAAGUUAUUGAACUUGUUUCAUAUCAUGUUGAUUAUGGAUAGCACAUACAAAACCAAUAUAUACAGAAUGUCAUUACUUGAAAUUGUUGGUAUGAUGUCAAUAAAGACGAUAUUUGUAGUUGGAUUUGCUUAUAAAAAUUUGUUGGCAUGAGAGAGGUUAAGAAAACCUAUAAUGCCUCUUGCAUAUGGUCCUCGUGAUGUAUAACCUCCUCGUCCUCUUGCAUAGUCUCUUCAUGUACAUAUGUUGCAUGUGCAAACUCCUUUUACACAGCAACAUCAACCUCUAGGAUUAUUGAUAUAUGAUUUUGUUCUCAUCUUCUAGCACCCACUGAAAAUAAACAAAUAAUAGUAUAAAAAAUUUAUAAAAAAAAAGAAGCUAGAAAAAAAAAUCAAACCGGAAAACUUCUUUUUAACAUUUUCGAUAAAGAUAUGUGUUAUGAAAAUUUUGAAAAAAAAAUUCGGUAGUUCUAAAAAACUUAUUUCAAAUUUUCUUUAAAAGAUUUGUAUCGGAAAACUUGAAAAUAAAAAUUUCCAAAAUAAUUUUUUAUACUGGAGAAUUUGAAAAUUUUCAGGGUGUAACUUUUGUAUCAAAAAACGUGAAAAAGAAAUUGGUAAAAAUGAAAAUUUUGGCACUCAUCUGUGUUAUGGAAAACUGAAAUGAUAUCGUGAAUAAAAAUAUUUUUUUUAUUAUUUAUAUGAAGACAAAUAUAUCAUGAUAAUGACAUAAGUGUAUAAUAUGGAGUACAACUUAAAAUUUUCUUAAUAAAAUUGGGCUUCAUAAUAGCACCCACGUUUUGGGCCCAAAUUUGCCUCUUGUUCAGCCCUAUCCAUAACUUAUUUUUUUUAUCUAGCACAAUAACAACAGUUUUUUUUUCUUCACGGAAGUAGAUAAGAACAUCUCCAACGGUACGUAAAUGCCUUCGUCCGCCAAUGUGUAAUAAUUUAAAAUUUAGUUUUUUGUGAAUUCACCGUUGAAGUUGUGCCAAGGUGUAUCAGGAAGAAAUGGUACUUCAUCGCGGUUAUAUUUUUUUUUUAUUAAUUUACGUUUAAUAAUAAACAUAUCACGGUUAGUGGUGGACUCUAUCUAAUGAACCAUGAGUUCUUGGACUAAAAAAUGAAUAAAUUAUUUCAAGAUAAUGUGGCAUGGUGGACCCCAUUUAAUGAACUCAUUUAGUUCAGCAUUGGAGAUGCUCUAAGAACAGCAAAAUUUUACCUUAUUUCACUCCUAAUUCUAUAUAUAACACAAAACUACCUAUUUUACUCUUUUCACUCUACUAAAUUCAACUUAAAUUUCAGAGAAUUUUAAAAAAAGUUUUUUAAAAUACAAUUGUAUUUCAAAAAAGAAAAUUCUUCAUUUUUUCUAAAAGUUCAAUAUUGUUUCAAAAACUUUAUCAAAAUACAAAUGUAAAUUGAUGAACAGAUAUCCGCGAUUACUGUUUAGGCAACGAAUAAGGUUUAUAAUGAUGGUUUUAUGGAGAGUUUGUAAAAUUUCUGGUUAUCUAUUUUUUUUUCUUCUUUGUAUUAUGCUUUUUUAUUUUUUUUCAAAAUCACACUCUUCUAUGUUUUUCUUUUUUUUCCUCUUUGUUUAUUUCUUCUUUGAUUUGUUUUCCUUCAAUUUAUAAAUUACAAUGAUGAAUUUUUGUGUCUAUAAAAUAAAUUAAAUUUUAAUUUUGUAUAUUACUUUGUAUCAUAAAUCAAGUAAUCUCAUGGAUAGAAAAGGAGAAAUGACUCUUUUUUUUUCUUCUAUGAGAACAUAUUUUAUGAGCACCUCACGCUUUGUUGAAGAUAAGAAUUCUCCUUUCAACAUUUUAACUUCUUCCAAAUUUGUUUUGAACAUAAUCAAAAACUUCUUGCUUCGACCUACUAACAUAAGAGUGAAGCCUCAAAUAUUUAGAUUGUGUCUAUAAACCCUUAAAUGGAAUCCAUCUUGAGGAAUCAAUUUUUCUGUAAUUUCACAUAUUUCAAAUAAAAGAGCUCUCUUGUCAAUAUUGACAAAUUGGCUUGAAACAUCUUGGUAAAGAUUGAAAAUAUUUUGAACUCAAGUGGCAUUUGAUUGAGUAGCGUUGCAGAAAAUAAAACUACGAUAUGCAUAAAAAGAAUUAAAAAAUAAAAUGAUAACACAAGUGCAACUAUAACAAUUUAAAUUCCUUGCAACACAUUUUAGUUAAACGUUUUACAAAUAACACCUGAAAGACCUUUGCACAAAGAAUAAAGAGGUAAGGUGGUUGAAACCCAAAUCAUAAUUAGAGAUAUUUAAUGUUGGGAAAAACGCAUGCUUACAAAAACUGCUAUGUGAAAUAGAAAGUUUGCAACAAUUUUCUAUCGUUCACCAUGAACCUUAGUCUCAUGUAAGGACUUCAAAUGUUUGAAGUGUUAGAACAUGGUUGAUUUGAAUAACAAUAACCCUAAAUUAUUUUGAUGAUAACAUAAAUGAUUUUAUAACUGACUCUGACAAACGCGCUCUGAAAGCACCUCGCCAAAUUUGUUAAUACAAACUCACUCGGAUGAUUUUGCGUCUAAUAACCUUGGUAUAAAGUCAAUCAUCCGAUAAAGUUAACAUUCAAACAAUAUUUUGCCAUUUAUAUUAAUAUACGUUGAAUCAAUUAUGAAGAUAUAUUUGUACAAGUUUUUAAUGUUGACUCAAUAUCUCUGAAGAUUUGACACGAGUUAUUAUUUCAUAUGUUGAUUCCGUGCAAUCACAACAAUUGUCAGAAACUCUAAUAGACUAAAAGCUUCUUUAUAAUUUGGCUUCUUUUUAAUGGUGAAUAGUUGAUUAAAUCGUUGUGUGUCAAGGGAUAUGACGUAGCUACUCUGUUGAUUGUGUUUCUACUGUGUUGGUUGAUUGUCAAAACAUAAACAUAAAGAUCUAUGUCUCGUGUCAUUUUCCCACGAUAAAGAGAAAGCCCUAAAUCAUCUCACUUAAGAGAGAAAAAGUAUUUUAAAUUUUUUUACUUCUCAAUUAGCAUAAAUUUAAUUAUUUUUCAUCUAUAUUCAAAAUAAAUUAAUAUAGUGUUCGAGGUGCAUAUCCUACUCACCAAACUUCAGUAACGUGAUUUCAGUACACAUGAAUCUUUAGUUAGUUAGAGUCAAUUCCAUUUUUAUAAUUCAAAUGACGAUAAACUAAAAAAUAAUAAAAUUCAUAAGAUACACAUGCCUAGCUAUUUCUGUUCGUAUAUACUCCUUGGUCAAGUUGACUUAUUAAUUUGUUCAAAAUUUACAAACUCUUGUAGCAUAUAUGCCACUGCACACAUAAUCAACCGUUUGAAUAUUGUUUUCUUUUACUCAUCCUGAUCGCAAGUUACAACGAUGUGAAGGAACAAUUGGACAUUUAUAAUUUAUCAAAGAUAAGUAAUUAAUAGUUCGGAUCAGUUACAAAUAAUUAAAAUAAAAUAACUUUUUAUUUAAGAAAACGGAGUUAAAAAUGUAUACAAUGAUGGCUCAUAGCUUUUUCAUACUAAGGAUACAAUAUAACACUUAUUUGAACAUGCAUAUAUAGUACUUGCGUUGUACUGAAUACACAUUUCGAAGAACUCUAGAACCGGAAAGUACCGUGAGAAUUAAUUACUUGAUAAUUCUGUUUACGACCGGACGAGUUUUACACAUGGCCUUUAAUGGAAUUAAUUUUGUCAAAACAAAUCCAUCUCGUUCUGCCAUAUCAAUCAUGUCAUCACUUGUACGUUUCCAAUCAAAGCAUUGAAUCAAUAAUGCCAAAGUCAUGCUAAUUGUUCGAAGAGCCAAAGCUUCUCCAGGACACACUCUUCUUCCCAUCCCAAAUGCAAUCACCUUUUCAAUCUCCCCUUUUUUGUCAAACCUCUCCGGCUUGAAGGUUGUGGCCUCACUCCAUGACUUAGGAUCCCUGUGAAUGGCCCAUGCAUUGAUCAAUACUAUGGUGUCUCGUGGUACUUUAUAUCCUCCAAUAAUGCAAUCAUCUGAAGUUGAGUGUGGUAAUAACAAAGGAGCGGGAGUACACAACCGAAGC
rnacentral:lncRNA from 1 species